AAGACCUGAUCAAGGUGGUCGACCGGGAGUACGUCUUCGCCUACAUCGAUGACCCCUGCAGCGCCACGUACCCCCUGAUGCAGAAACUGAGGCAGGUCCUCGUGGACGAUGCGCUGGACGACGUCGACCGGGAGAAGAACCCCAGCACCUCCAUCUUCCAGAAGAUUGGGGCUUUCGAGGAGGAGCUCAAGGCACUCCUCCCGAAGGAGGUCGAGAACGCGAGAGCUCAGUUCGAGAGCGGGAACUCGGCGAUCGCUAACAAGAUCAGGGGGUGCAGGUCGUACCCAUUGUACAGGUUCGUGAGGGAAGAGCUCGGGACCGGUUUGCUCACGGGGGAGAAGGUCGGCUCGCCGGGCGAGGACUUUGAUCUGGUGUUCUCCGCCAUGUGCGAGGGCAAGCUGAUCGAUCCUUUGCUGGAGUGCUUGAGGGACUGGGAUGGUGCUCCGCUUCCCAUCUGUUAGAAACUUUUCCAAAUCCUGAAGACUGCCUCAUAAUUUAACUUGCCCUAAUCUUGGUAUGUACUUAGAGAGUUUUUCAUGGUCGAGAAACUGCGGUUAAAAUUGUAAUGUCUCUUAUGUCUUUUGUUCAGUUCCUUCUUAUUCAAACACCCCCCCCCCCCUCGAUGUAUAUUUGUACUUGGAACUUCAUCGGUGUAACAACAAUGUUGAAACACGUGAAGAAAUACAACAUACAUUUCGUUACAUUUUCGUUCUUAUAAAGGAUCUUGACAUUUACUCUGCAUUGUGAGCUAAUUGUUAUUGGGUACAUCUUAUUGUAUCUCCCAACUUGAACCUACCAAACGUAAAAUUAGAAUGAACAUGUAUUUCUUAAAGGGAGCUACCCUCGUUAGAAAUUAAGUGGGUUAUGUAUUAAGAAUCAAUAUUAUAUUUAAGUUCAUGAAAAGGAACAGGUUUAUAUGAAAAGACAUUCAGAUAAUAUAUGCAUCAUUAUUGAUUUAGUCUACAUUAUUCUAAUUAAAUGAAUGCAUAUUAUUUCAGGGCUCCACAUGUAUAAAAAAGUUAGAGGUUGCUCAUCUUUGCUUAGGCCUAGAAUGAUGCCCAACCAACCUCUUUGCCAUGACUUUUGGAAGAGGUUGACCUACCGAGCAUGAAUUUCUUUGUGGGUUGGCCCGAAAAGGCAAUAAAUCAUUUGGGAUGGGACAUAUAUUCCAAAUUGAGUGGUUGCCUCCAGAGCAGGAUAACUCUAUGAUUGGCAAAUAUGAGGCCUCGUUCCUAGAAAAAUAUCACAACUUUGGAUUUUCCUCGAUGCACUUGGCCUAAUCCAUGAGGAGGUUUCUGCCCAAAAUGGUAACCUAGCUAGCAAAACCGAAGUGUCACAUGGAUCUAUUUAGGACAUGUCACGGUCGAUUCCCAGUGUUCGAACCACAAAAUUAUGGCCCCAAACCCACACUACCUUCUAUGCCAAACCAUAACUGAUGGAGUUUGUAUCAACUUAACCUCGCGCAAUUUGUGUAAUCGAUAGAUUGAUAAGGAUGUUAGGUCGGCCGCCAUAUCAUGUGAUGGCGGAUUCUGUUCAAGUUUAGCUGAACCUCGCUGGUUCAAAGGUGGUACAGUCCCACUUUUUAGUCUCUAAUAAGCUGUCGAAAGCACAAGCAUGGAUACCUUCGAUCUUCCCACUCAAUUUGAGGUCCAUAUACGAGAUUGAAUGUGGAGAAAUGGGUGCGUAUCUGGUAUCACUGAAUUCUCUGAGUCACUGACAGACUCCAUCAUUUGGUUACCUCUUUUUUGUGGAAAGUUCCCUUCUGUAGCAUUAGUGCAGAAGAGCAGACAGUUUCAGCUCCCUGGGGACAAGUUGUCUAGGGCAGAUAAGACAGAAAGUGGAAGAUCCACGUUUAGACACGUCACUCCAAUGUAAAACAGCCAACGGAUUUCCUAGACAUGGGCAACAAUCAUUCCUAAUCCUCAAAGUGGUCGGAUGUCAAUGCGUCUGUCUCUCUCUCUACCUCACACGGCGCUUUCAAUAUGUCUUGCUUCAUGUCUUCGAACUUGUGUUUGCCUGGCCGGUGAACUCAACCAUAUGGGGAAGCAUAUAGCUCGCUCUUCUUCUGUUCGAUUGACCUCUUUCGAAUGUGAAUUCUGGGUUUCUCUCUCCCUCUGGAGAUCGAUGGACACACGCAUCGAUCAAAGCAGGUGAGUGAACUUUGACAUGUUCUUACUCUUUCGCUUUCUAAACAAUUUUGGUUAGGGAUAGCAAAAGAUCGUGAUUCUAAUAAUGUUGUUUUUCCGAACAGGCCUCUCUAUAUGGGUUGACAAUAGCCCUAUAUUUUGGAAUAAUAUGAUAAAUGCAAGCAAUAAAGGGAUUGAUUUUACAUUCUAUGUUCAUGGGAUGUCGAGUUUUCUUCGUGAUGACAAAUCACUUUAUAUAUAUUUAUAUAACCAUAGCAAAAUUCAACUAUCUCGUAAUCAAGGAGUAACCCGAGAAUUUAUCCAUCAAUUCAAAAACUACCAUUCCCUUCACGUGCCAAACAAGAUAUAAAAGAUGCCUAAGCCGUACCAACUGCCCGAAGUACAAAUAACCAGAAACCAUAGAGUGAAGAUCAAUUAUUUGCCUUCAUUAGCCAUUACAUUGUCCCUUCGAACUUGUAAAUCUCCCCUUUUUGCCUAAUACGCUAAUCAAUCCACAAAACGUUAUCAAGUAAGGACCUGUAAAAUCAAGUGCUGUAGGCCUGAAAGAUUCAUUUGCUGACGGCAUUCUGUGCAAGUUAAGAACUAACUCAGGAGGAAUGGUUGAGGAAGCUUCAUUUGCUAAGUACGUCAAGGUAUUCAUGUACUGCGUAUAGCACACCAAAAGCAAAACUCAUUGGUAGAGCAACAUAUAUGGAGAGAGAACCCAUAUAAAUAUGUGUGUCCUCCAAUCCACCUACACGGGCACACACUUGGGUUACAUAGAGAUGGAAGGACAAGCCCAGCGUUCGAAAGAAAAGGAACAUUUUGACAUUGUUAUGGCAGUCAAACAAAGUCUUGCUAGCAAUUAAGUAGUAAGCAAGCAUCCAAAACUAAAUAUAUCAGAAGCACACCCAGCUGAAGCCGUUUUGGACCAGACCACUUUAGGAGCAGUGCAAUUGAGUGAUGGCUGCAAAAGACAGUACAGAAUCCUCAACAUCAUAUUCCUGCACGAUCAUUACAAAAGCUGGCAUAAGUAACCAAACUGCCAUCAUACUAAUAUCCGCAAUAACAUGCUGAACAAAAUGUGAGAAUUGUGCCACACAAUACUGUCAUGACUUGCAUACAAGAGAAUUUUCAGUCUAUUUCCACAGUUUAACAUCACUAAGUACUAGAUCAAGAAUGGUUGGGAUAGCAAGAGAACAAGAAUCGAGUAGGGAGAAACUACAAAAACACAAUCAGUCACCAACUUGAAGUCAGGAUGAGUAAAAUCAUCGUGAAUAAAGGAAAAUGAUAAGUAACUUUCACCAACCUCUAUUGUGAGAUCAAAAUAUGAAAAAGGAAUGUGCAACGGUUAUGUCCCAAAGAAUGGAGAGAUGAAAACAAAGUCGGUUUCCUUCACUCAUCAUCUUAUUGAGUUAUCCAAACACAGAAUAAUGAAAAAGUUGCAGACUAGAUAAAUCCACGGUGGCCUGAUCUGAGGAAAUGGCAAAACCAAAUCCACAAGCUUCCAAGAUCCACUUGAUGUAAUAAGCACAUUCUGCAAAAAGAUGUUCCGACAAUUACUUAUGCAUGUCCAAAUACCCAUAUGCUCUUCUUAAAUCCCGAAUUUAAGAGUGAAACAACAUAAUUUUACUUAAAAGGGUAGAAACACCACCCAAUAAAGGGAAAGACAAAGUUAUCUUCUUUUAAGAGUGAAACAACUUAAUUUAGAAAUUACCAACUUAUUUGGAGCUUGCAAAUUCCUAAAUUUUGUACAAAAUUAUCUCCUUUUAUUUGCAUAUUUUACCAAGGGAAAAUUUUAAAAAGGGACUCGAAGUACCAUCUUUUCCUCAAAUAAGAGUCCAAAGAGGAUAUUGUUUCAAAUAAGGACUGAAAGUGAAUAUUGUUUAAAAUAAUGAUCUAAAGCAGUUACGUUUUUUUUUUUUUUUGGUGACCCGAGAAUCACCAUACAACUGGCAACCAGUGGCGUAAAUCCGAGGUGGACUGAGCCACCACCACAGACCCAGCCGCGGGUGAGUCGCGCGAAUGCGACGCCUCUGGGAUUCGAACUCCUUCCCUUCAUGAGGGGGAGAGAGCCCGAAGCCAGCUACACCACCGCGGGCGGUGGUAUCUAAAGCGGUUAUGUUUGUUUCAAAUAAGGAUUUAAAAUGGCUAUAUCCGUUUCUAAUAACUUUUCGGCAAUCACGGUAUUUUCGUCAUUUGUCAUUUUUCCUCUCUUUUUUUUUUUUUUCUUUUUUCUUCUGGUUCUUCUUCUUCCUCUUCGCCGGCGAAGAGGAAGAAGCAGAACCAAAAAAAUAAAAGAAAGGAAAAAAGGGAAAAAUGCCAAAUGACGAACUGAUUGGAAAAUUUAGCGGGUUGGUGAUGGGCAAAGUUAGGUCAUUAUUUGAAAUAACCAAAGCCAUUUCAGGCCUUUAUUUGAAAUAAUCAAGGCCAUUUCAAAUCUUUAUUUGAAAUAAAAUCCACUUUGGGCUCUUAUUUGAAAAAAUAAGGACACUUUGGCUCCUUUUUAAAAAUUUUCCCUUUUACUAAUGCUUUGAAUUCGCUAACUAUUUUAUAAAAUUCAUAAGCUAAAUUAGUAUUAUUUACUAAAUUUUGUCAAAUUAAAAUUUUUAGUUUUGAUUUACCAACUAUCUUUGAAUUAUUUACGAAUAUUUAAUUUUUUUUUAUCUACCAAUUGUCUUGUUAAAGUUACCAAGUGUGUUUGUCUUGGAGCUAUUUUUUUUUUUUAAAUUUAUAAGACUCAUUCAAAAAUUACCAAUCAAAAUUAGCUUGAUUUAACAAGUUUUCUUCCAUUAAAUUAUCAAAUAGUAUUGAGUGCGUACUUUCAUUUGAAUUACUUACCACACUCUAGUUGUUUAAAUUCUCAAUUUGCCUAAUUUUCUUAUCGUUUCUAAACUUUGCUUUUCCUAGCAACUCUUGUGAUUUACCGACUCCUUUUUCAAAUAUUAUCACAACCUAAUUAAAGUGACAUAACAACUUCUCUUUGAUUAAAUUAUUGGCUAGUCUUGGAUUGCCAACUCUCAUUCGAGUUACUUACGGCAUUUUAUCUUUCCUAACUCCUCCAUACAUAUUUAUCCAAAACAUGCGACAUUAUCAUACGCAAUCACAUCUUUUUCCAUCGAUCUUUUUCAUACAAAAUAUGCAGGACUUCUUGAGCUCCCGAUUAAUCUUCAUUAAAUGAGCUAGUUAUCUCAACUCAAAUAGUGCUUGAUGGUACAUUAUUGUACGUGUAUACACCUGACCAUCAUCUUGAUAGGAUAAGCUUUUGCUAACAAAAUUGCCAAAUAUACAGAUUAGGUAUCAGUUUGGCCAUGGUUUGAUUAAGUCCAGGUAAUUAGCUGCACUUUUGGAUGACUCCGGGUUCGAGACUCCAGCUACCAAAUCAAGACUCGAAAAAAAACAAGAGAUUAGUCGAUUUAACCAUUUUAUUUAAAAAGAUGCUAUUUCCACUUUAUUUUACGAUUUUAAUACCUCUUCUUUUUUCUUGCAAGUUACUUCUCCGAUAUGGGCUUCUAGACGAAGAAGGGUUUGACGUGCAUAUAGUCUAACUUGAUCCGGAUUUUCUUGAUAUAUUAAGUAUAAAUCUACAAGUAAGUACCUAAAAUACAUAUAUAAUAAAGCACAUAAACUCCCAUUUUCUUCUGGACUUAUCAAGAAACCUGAUGGAUGGAGACACCCUUUCGAUUCUUCCAAGGUUGCAACUUGUUGAGGGACAAAAUAAAUUCACAAUUAAAUUCCCAACAUUAGGAACUCGUUGAUAAUACUAGCAUGUACACGUGCAUAUUAGUCAAAAGUCUAGAAAACCUUCCCUUGUUUAUAGGUUAGCUCCAGAUAAAGGUCGAUCUAAAUAAACCCAGGUUGAAGAAUUCAAGAAUAAUUUAAUCUUGAAAAAAAGGAAAACCCAAAACCUCGUCCAUACUUACAUACAUACAUACAUACAUACAUACAUACAGAUACACACACAUAUAAAAGAUACACUUAAGAAUUUCGAGGUUCUUGUUUUAGUUGGUUGAAGUAGUGAAUAGCUUUUAGUCUUUUAAGUAAAGACUAUGAAAUGCAGAGAAGGAGUUGGGACUUGGGAUUAGAUGCCUCCUNNNNNNNNNNNNNNNNNNNNNNNNNNNNNNNNNNNNNNNNNNNNNNNNNNNNNNNNNNNNNNNNNNNNNNNNNNNNNNNNNNNNNNNNNNNNNNNNNNNNNNNNNNNNNNNNNNNNNNNNNNNNNNNNNNNNNNNNNNNNNNNNNNNNNNNNNNNNNNNNNNNNNNNNNNNNNNNNNNNNNNNNNNNNNNNNNNNNNNNNNNNNNNNNNNNNNNNNNNNNNNNNNNNNNNNNNNNNNACAAUGGUCAUUUUUUUUUUUUUUUUUUUAAGUAAGGCGUUGGUAAAUUUAUCAACAGCUUUAUGAAAUUGCCAACUUAUUUAGAGUUUGCAAAUUUACAAAUUUUGUACAAACUUAUCUAUUUUUAUUUGUAUAUCUUGCUAAUGCUUUGAAUUCACUAAUCUUUUUUUUUUAAAAAUGAAAUUGAUAACUUAAAUUAGUGUGAUUUACUAAUUUGUCAAAUUAAGUUUUUAAGUUUUGGUUUACCAACUCUCUGCGAAUUAUUUACCAACAUUUAAUUUUAUUUAAUCCUCCAAAUUUCCCGUUAAAGUUACCAACUUGUAUUACUUUUUACCACCUUUUAUGUAUCUUUCCUAACUCAUCCAAUAUAUGUUUUCUGCGCAACAUGUGACGAAGAUGUGAUCAUACGCAAUCACAUCUUUUUCCGUCGAUCUUUUUCAGACAAAACACACAAGACUUCUUGGGCUCUCAAUUAAUCUCUACUAUAAGAGCUAGUCAUCCCGACUCAGAUAGUGAAGGUCCACAGUAACAUUAUAGGCUCAUGCUCCCUAACACAAUUGCUGGCUGAAUCCAUGAAUUAUGUAUCGGUUUGGCCAUGGUUUGAUAAAGUCUUGGUGAUUAGCUGCACGCUGGUCAACUCCAGCUACCGAAACACACAUUAAUUAAUAAGACUCAGGAAAAUAUUCGCGCCCAAUUACUGCUAUCUGUUCAUAGGAUCCGAUCGAAUAUUUGCGUCACCCUUUUUAUGUCGGAUGUAAAUCUCUUAUUGGCUUCACCAACUCGAAGGAACUGCGACCCUUUGUUUUCUCUCGUCUUCUCUUUCUUUUCUUCCCUCGAUUUUCCUUUAUUUUCUCCGGGGUUGGUGGUAAUCGGUAGGCACGACUUUAAUAAAUUCUUUGGCCCAUGUCCGCAUUUAAAAUGUGGUCUGACCGCAUCUGAAUUGAAAAGCUAGCUACCGUCUCCCUAAGAUGACAGACUGGCGAUUUGAUCGAAAGUGGUGGGACAAAAGGGUAAUGAUAUCCAGUCUUUGGAUCGGAUGGAUGGGAUUUAUUAAUCCCCAGCUAAUCCACUUAAUUUAAUUUACUUCGUCUCAAAAUUCGGGGCUGAGUUCUUUGAAAGUUUCCUUGUGAGCACGGACCUGACUCGCACGUGAUUUGCGAAAUGAAGUGGAUCUUUUCAUGCAAUUAGAUACAAACGGCAUUGGAAAAUAUGGUUUUAUAACUUAGUCAAGUAUUAUAGUUACACCAUUACCCAAAUUUCUGAAUAUCUUUUCAUUUUCGGGAAGUAAAGAAGAAGGACAUGGCUUGGGAUUUACUCUUUCUGGGUCAACAACUUAACAUAGGAUUUUUGGAACAUGACUUUUCGGUUUAAUACGGUCAACAAAUUCAAAAAUAGGGUCAUUCCUAAAUUGAUUUAAUAAUCAAUUUGGGAAUAUUUAAUCUUUAUAUAUCUUCAUGACCUACUCCCAAAACAAGGUAGUUCUGUGGGCAUAUUUAAUCUUUAUAUAGCUUCACGACCUACUCCCAAAACAAGGUAGUUUUGUCUUUACCAGCAACUCAUCGAAAUCACGAUUCCACAACGGAGUUUAGUUUAGGAAUCGAAUUUUCAUUUGACAUUUUAUUUGGUAUAUCCUAUGUUGCUAACAUCCCACAUGGUCAUGGAAUAAGGAAAAAAAAAUUAUGUGAAUGCAGUUUCUUUCUUGGGGAAAAGUCAAAAUAGAAAAACGAAUCCCAUCGUAAAAUCUUUCUUCAAUAUAUGUGAAGACAAAAAGGUCCUCAUAUACUCUUCCAUUUGAGUUGAAAUUAUCACGCAUGGCACUACAUUGAGAUUUAUAGUUUGUACUGAAUUUUGUGAUUGGAUUGAAUUUUAAUUUUUAUUCAAUUUAAAUUUUACGGUCCACAAAUGUUGCAUUUUUGUAAUCCGAAGCGUUCGAGACUUUGACAUUAUAUCUACGAUUUUUUUGGAAUCUAAGUAUUUUAAGUUACGGUGGAAAAACAAAAGGAAUAAAAUUUUCUUUUAAUUAUUUGCAAACAAGCAAGCUCAUCUUAUUACGUCACCGAGAUAAUAAAUUUAGUUUACAAGUGAAAAAUAGAAAUUGUUCAGCACGCUUGUCUCUUGCUAUCAUUGAAGUGUUUAGUGUCAUGCGAAAUAUAAGCAAUUUAUUAAUUAUUAAGUGUUCUAAAGGGUCAAUACAUGUGAGGUUAAUGAAUUAUCGAGAUAUUGAAAGUAUAGUCAAUUGUAAGAGGCAAAUGUCUUCAAUGCUUCGAUUGUCUUUGUGUUCUAUGAAAAAAAGCAAGGAAGAAUAAGGAAAAACGUAGGAAAUUUUUUGUAUAUUCUAUUUUGUAUAUCAAAUAGUGUACAAUGCUCUAUAAUUAUAUCACUAGGCAUGUACAAGAAAAAGGAAAUAAAGAAUAUUACAAAAUCAAUUUCGAUAUUAGACUGAUAUUAAUUGAUCUGGCAUAUCAAUCUAAAUCCUAAAGAAUAUUGCAUAGGAUCGCAUAUCUUCCAACAUUUUCCCUUAAACUGGUAGCUUGUAGAUGUCAAAGACACUUAGCUUGCUUAGUAGUUAUGCGUGCUGUCUCUGACAUAGAGGUUUGGUGAAGACAUCUGCAUGUUGUUCUGUAGUCCCAAUUCUUCUUGUUUCGAUUACCUCCUCUUGAAUCUUCUCUCAAGUGAAGUGACAGUCCACUUCUAUGGGCUUUGUUCUUUCGUGCACUAUAGGAUUGGACGCAAGUUUUGUUAUGUUGUUGUCACAAAACAAUAUGCUGGGUCCCUUUGUUUGCACCCCAAGGUCCUGAAGCAAGCCUCACAGCCACACUAUUUCACAAGUGGUCUUCGCCAUAGCUCGAUAUUCAGCCUCUGUUGAAGAUAAAGACAUGGUUGGCUGCUUCUUCGUCUUCCAAGAAAGUAAAGAUUUUCCCAGCAUGAUACGGAAUCCUGUAAUUGAUCUCCUGCUCAUCGGACAAGUUGCGUAAUCAGCGUCACAAUAAGUUGUCAUCUCCAUGUUGCAUCUUUUUUAAAGAAGAAUUCCAAGUCCUGGACAUUUCUUCAAAUACUUAACAACCUUUAGAGCGUGUGGGACUGCUUUGACUUGUGCAUAAACCGAUUGAGUGUCUACACAUCAUAACAUAUAUCUGGUUUAGUCAUGGUAAAAUAUAUGAGCUUUCCUACCAGCCUUUGAUAACCUGACGGGUCUCUGUAUCAUCUUGGAGAUUUCGAAAGGGCUUCGACCGUUCAACACUUUCGUUGGCAUCCAAUUAAUUAAGUACACUGCCGUGAUCAUGCAUUCUGCCCAAAAAUUAUUUGGAAUAGAGGCCUAAAACUUCAAGGCAUGUGCCACUUCCAGAAUAUGUCGAUGCUUUCUUUCCACUACUCCAUUUUGUUGUGGAGUGUAUGUGCACGGACUUUCAUGCAAGAUGCCAUAGGAUGAAAAUAUUGAUGCGCAUUCAUGGUUGAAAAAUUCUCUUCCAUUAUCUAUCCUAAUCCGCUGGAUAGAUUUUCCAAAUUGGGUCUUUGAUAAAGAGAUAAAUUCAUUUAAGUGAGAUAGAACCUGACCCUUAGUUUGCAAGAGGAAGAUCCAUGUUGCUCGAGAAUGGUCAUCAACAAUAGUAAGAAAAUAUCUUGAUCCAUCAUGAUUAGGUGUAUGAUACGGUCCCCAUACAUCAACAUGAAUUAGCGAGAAAGCACUAGUGGAACGACUCAUGCUAACUGGAAAGGGUGCACAUAAUUGUUUUGCAAGUGGGCAGAUAUGACAUUGAGAGUAAGGAAAUAAAGCACCGUGGCCCAUUCUAGAAUACAAAAGGAAAUUUUUAUCAUUGGUAGUGACAUUACACAAUGAUUGUUUAUUGAAGGAAACUUGAGAUAAAUCUAAAGUUCUUGGAAUGCUAGUCCAAAAAAAUAGUCCGUCGGAAAGAUUACCCAAACCCAUCAGUUUCAUGUCGAAAGGGCCUGAAAGAAACAGAUAUCAGCAUUGAAGAAAAUACAACAAGAGUUUUCCUUGCAGCUCUAGACACAGAAAUCAAAUUGAACUGGAAAUCUGGAACAUAGAAGACAUUUCUCAGUGUUAUUUGAGGGCUAAGGUUCACAAUUCCUAUAGUGGUCACAUAGGUAAUGCUUCCAUUUGGCAAUCUUACAGAAACAGGAAUACUUAAAUUUUCAUGAAUAAUGGAAAAGAAGCCUUUAUCACAAACAAUAUGAUCACUAGCCCCUGAGUCAAUCAUCCAAGAAUUUCGGGAAAUAGAGUAUUAGGCAUGAGAAAUACCUGAGAAGCUACUUCCUUUGUUGGAAAUGCCCAUUUUUUGCAAUGCCUUUAUAAACUGCUUAUACUGCCCUUGAGUGAUAGGCUGAUCAUUAUUUGAACGUAAGGUCUGAUAAGCUGCUACCGAAGAUUCCUUCCCCCAUUUUCCUUUUUCAUCGGGCUUGUCGUGCAAUUUCUAGCAAUUAUUAAUGGUGUGGUGGGGUCGCUUGCAGUAUUCACAAAAUAACUUAUUUUUCCCUUUUAUAUUUGGCUAUGCCUUUGAACUCGUGGAAAAAUGUGGACCGUUGGAUCCUUUAAAAAUAGCCACGUGCCCACCGUCCGAUCCUGAUGAGGAAUUGGGCCCUUUCCGGUCGUUCGAUUGCGCCUCACAAUCUGGACCGUCCAUUUCAGACACUUUAAAAGCAUUUGAAGUUGUCCCAAACCCUAGCUCUUCUAGCCGCAUGCCCUGUUCUGGAGUCUUCUGGUUUUGGUCUCCCUUCUCACCGCGAGUAGCCAAGGCCAGCGACUCUACUCCUCUCGCAUGCUCCGUUGCCAUGAGUCUCUGACUCUCUUCUUAGAUGGCCAACUGGAAAAUACAGUUGAGCGAUGGCAUGGGUUCCAUGGCUAAGAUUUGAGAUCUGAAUGUCAGGUAAGAGUCGUUUAAAAUGAGCAAGAAACAGGUAACUUUCUCUCUGUCUCAUAUUGCUUUGUACUGCUACAAAGUGGCCUCGGGCCAUUCGAGUUUCUCCUUUGCUGCCUCCAACUCAUUCUAGAGAGCUGAUAACUUAUUAAAAACCGUUGUGAUGCUCAUAUUCCCCUGUUUUAGUUCGGAAAGUGCUUGGGUCAAGGAAAAAAAAUUUGCACAGUCCAAUUUUCCAUACAUUUCUCGUAUAGUGUCCCACGUCCUUUUCAAAUCUUUUGUGGGAGUAAGUCUGGUUGCAAUUUCUGGAUUGAUGCGGUUCCCAAUCCACUUUCUUACUAGUUUAUUACACUUCUUCCAUUGUCUCGCCAUCCUUUCGUCUGUCGGAAUGGGAGUAGAUCCGUCAAUAAAUCCCUCUUUAUCUUUAGUAACAAGGGCUCGACGAAAUUCUUGAGCCCAGAUUGAGUAGUUAUGAGAUCCCCUUAGUUGUUGACUGAUGAAUCGUAUCUUUGGUCCAUCAGCGGUAGAUACGUACAAUGGAUCACCAAGUUCUGGCUGAUCAGAAACGACUGAGAGAGGGUAUGGCAAGAAUCUGGGUCUUAUUGUCGGGUAGGUAUUUGAACCCAUACCCGGAUUAAGCAACCCACUGGAUAAUACCGCAUCUUGAUUUCCAGAUCCAGUAUCUACGCUUGCCCGGUCUAUGGUUGGCGAGCCAUUAUUGGGCUGGACAUUGUCUUCGGAAAUUUGAAUUCCAGGCCAUGGAGUACUUGGGCUUGGCCCGUAGUACCAUGGGCUGGGCUGAACAAGAACGGGUACCCAUUGGUAUGGUUGACCCGCCAUGGCCUGACCUGAUGUGGAUUGGCCUGGAAUGGGUUGCCCCAGACUAAGGGCGCGUUUGGUAACGAUUCUGUUCCCGGGAGUUGAUUCUGAUAAGAACUAAUUCUUUUUGAUUCUGUUCCCGGGAACUGAUUCUGAGUAAAAACACGUGUUUGGUAACUGUUCAAAAUUUUUUAUUCUGGAAUAGAAUUGCGUUUGGUACCGUAUUAAUUGAUUCUGUUCCAAAUUAAUUUCUUUUGAUUUUUAAAUAAAUUUUAAAUAAUUUCUUUUGAUUUUUAAAUAAAUUUUAAAUAAUUUCUUUACUUUUUUACUUUUUUCUUUUUUUUUUCUUUUUCUUUUUCUUUUUUUCCCCUUUAUCUUAUUCCUCCUCUUCUUCAUUUUGCCGGUUCCCCUACUGUUUAUUUUAUCAUACUAGUCUUUUUAUUUUUUCUUUGCUGUCUCCGCCAGCCCUCGGCGANNNNNNNNNNNNNNNNNNNNNNNNNNNNNNNNNNNNNNNNNNNNNNNNNNNNNNNNNNNNNNNNNNNNNNNNNNNNNNNNNNNNNNNNNNNNNNNNNNNNNNNNNNNNNNNNNNNNNNNNNNNNNNNNNNNNNNNNNNNNNNNNNNNNNNNNNNNNNNNNNNNNNNNNNNNNNNNNNNNNNNNNNNNNNNNNNNNNNNNNNNNNNNNNNNNNNNNNNNNNNNNNNNNNNNNNNNNNNNNNNNNNNNNNNNNNNNNNNNNNNNNNNNNNNNNNNNNNNNNNNNNNNNNNNNNNNNNNNNNNNNNNNNNNNNNNNNNNNNNNNNNNNNNNNNNNNNNNNNNNNNNNNNNNNNNNNNNNNNNNNNNNNNNNNNNNNNNNNNNNNNNNNNNNNNNNNNNNNNNNNNNNNNNNNNNNNNNNNNNNNNNNNNNNNNNNNNNNNNNNNNNNNNNNNNNNNNNNNNNNNNNNNNNNNNNNNNNNNNNNNNNNNNNNNNNNNNNNNNNNNNNNNNNNNNNNNNNNNNNNNNNNNNNNNNNNNNNNNNNNNNNNNNNNNNNNNNNNNNNNNNNNNNNNNNNNNNNNNNNNNNNNNNNNNNNNNNNNNNNNNNNNNNNNNNNNNNNNNNNNNNNNNNNNNNNNNNNNNNNNNNNNNNNNNNNNNNNNNNNNNNNNNNNNNNNNNNNNNNNNNNNNNNNNNNNNNNNNNNNNNNNNNNNNNNNNGUUCUUCAAAAAUACCGACAGCAAUCAAAGAGGAGAGGUGGGGAAGCUGAAAUUGAAUUAGAAGCGGAAGCCCGCUCUGAUACCAUGAAAGAAAGCAAGGAAGACAAGGAAAAAUGUAGGAAAAUGUUUGUAUAUUCUAUUCUAUAUAUCAAAUAGUGUACAAUGCUCUACAAUUAUAUCACUAGGCAUGUACAAGAAAAAGGAAAUAAAGAAUAUUACAAAAUCAAUUAUGAUAUUAGACUGAUAUUAAUUGAUAUGGCAUAUCAAUCUAAAUCCUAAAGAAUAUUACAUAAGAUCGCAUAUCUUCCAACAUUCUAGACAAUUAGUAUCUCGAAAUUGAAUUACACAUAUAAAACAAAUGUCCACGACUUUCAUUAUGACUUACGUUAAAAAGUACCCGACACAUUUGUUAAGCAAUUUGGAUAAGCAUGGCACCACAUCGAGAUUUAUAGUUUGCAUUGAAUUUUGUUAUUGGAUUGAAUUUUAAUUUUUAUUCAAUUAAAAUUUUACGGUCCACAAAUGUUGAUUUUUUUUUUUAAUUUGAAGUGUUCGAGACUUUCACAUUAUAUCUAUGAUUUUUUUUUUUUUGGAAUCUAAGUAUUUUAAAUUACGAUGGAAAAAAAGGGAAUAGAUUUUUCUUUUAAUUAUUUGCAAAUAAACAAGCUCGUCUUAUUAAUAAAUUACAUCACUUAGAUAAUAAAUUUAGUUUACUAGUGAAAAACAUAAAUUCUUCGGCACGCUUGUCCCUCGCUAACAUCGAGCAUCAUGCGAAAUAUAAACUAUUCAAAAUCUCCACCCGGUCGGGAAUUUCAAUUUGGAAACCAUCUUUGACCCGUCGACUAACCCGUCGGCCUAACCUACUCGACACUCAAUGGCGGGCGGGCCUCUCCUCUAUUUAAACGUCCGAUUUGUAGGUGAACAGACUCAGGAAAUUCACUAGCUUCUUUAGCGCAUGUGAAUUUCCUUCAGAGCAAAACACACACAAAAAACGCCACCGCGCUCUUCCUCUCUCUCGCGCUCGCUCGCUCCUCGCUCGAUUUCGACUCCUCUUCUCGGGCUCUCGGCCGCUCUAGACGUUCGCAUUCACACGAGCGCGAAGAUGGACAUGGACACGGCAGCGUGCAACGGCGAGGGCUCCCUCGGGCUCUGCGCGGGGGCAGGAGGUGACCCACUCAACUGGGGCGCGGCUGCCGCGGCCCUCACGGGGAGCCACCUCGAUGAGGUGAAAAGGAUGGUCGAGGAGUCCCGGCGGCCUGUGGUCCGCCUCGGCGGUGAGACGCUGACCAUCGCACAGGUGGCGGCCAUCGCAGGGCGGGAGGCCGGCGCAGCGGUCGAGCUGUCGGAGGCGGCCCGGGCGGCAGUCAAGGCCAGCAGCGACUGGGUGAUGGAGAGCAUGAGAAACGGCACGGACAGCUACGGGGUCACCACCGGCUUCGGCGCCACCUCGCAUAGGCGGACCAAGCAAGGUGGUGCUCUGCAGACGGAGCUCAUAAGGUAAAAAAAAAAGAAAAGUGCUACUUCGAUAUAUUUCUUUAAAUUCUCAUUCGGUUGUUUUUAUUAACAAAUAUUUGCAGAUAUAUUGAAAAUACUUGUCAAGCAAUCGAUAAUGAAAAAAAAUAUGCUGAUUUUAGGAGAUGGGUGCGAUAAUACGUUAUUCGGGAAUUGUAAUUAUCAAGAAGUGCAUAUUUAAAAAAAAAAAAUCAAGUAAAAUCCUUUGUUUUAAUUUAAAAUUAACACCUGUCAUCUGCGGUAUAAAUGGUCCCUCGUGAAGGGCUGCCAAGUGCUGGCCAAGCUUCCUUUCCAUAAAAGUUAUAUACCCAAACGUGCAAGUAUCAAUCCAAAGGACGAAAUCAAUUUCUCUAUAUUUUUUAAAUAUUAGGUAACCAAAAAUAAUAUGGGAGAAGAUUAAUUAAUUUUGAAGACGACCCGUAAUAAUUACUUUUUGAAUACCUAAUUUCUCAUUUUUUCAAUUAAUGAGACUUACCUUUGCUAUAAUUAAAUAAGUGUCUAAAUCGAUAUUCACAUUUCCUUUGCUAUAAUUAAUAAUAUGUGGUUGACGAAAUUUUCCCAUUGAGCCAGGUUCUUGAACGCCGGCAUAUUCGGCAACGGGACCGAGUCGUGCCACAUGCUGCCCCACUCGGCGACCCGGGCCGCCAUGCUCGUGAGGAUCAACACCCUCCUCCAGGGCUACUCAGGCAUCCGGUUUGAGAUCCUGGAGACCAUGGCCAAGCUCCUCAACCGCAACAUCACCCCGUGCCUGCCUCUCAGGGGUACCGUCACGGCCUCGGGCGACCUGGUCCCCUUGUCCUACAUCGCCGGGCUUCUGACGGGCAGGCCCAACUCGAAGGCGGUCGGGCCAAAUGGCGAGUCCCUGAACGCCGUCGAGGCCUUCCGCCUUGCCGGGAUCAAGCACGGGUUCUUUGACCUGCAGCCCAAAGAGGGCCUCGCGAUCGUGAAUGGCACGGCAGUCGGGUCUGGGCUCGCUUCCAUUGUCCUGUUCGAGGCGAACAUCCUGGCCGUCCUCUCAGAGGUUCUGUCGGCCAUCUUCGCCGAGGUGAUGCAAGGGAAGCCGGAGUUCACCGACCACUUGACCCACAAGCUCAAGCACCAUCCCGGACAAAUUGAAGCUGCAGCUAUAAUGGAGCACAUCUUGGAUGGGAGCUCCUACGUGAAGGACGCUCAAAAGCUCCACGAGAUGGACCCUCUCCAGAAGCCGAAGCAGGACCGAUACGCGCUCCGCACGUCCCCGCAGUGGCUCGGCCCCCAGAUCGAAGUGAUCAGGGCCGCCACCAAAAUGAUCGAGAGGGAGAUCAACUCUGUCAACGACAACCCGCUGAUCGACGUCUCCAGGAACAAGGCUCUCCAUGGAGGGAACUUCCAGGGGACCCCGAUUGGCGUUUCCAUGGACAACACCCGUCUCGCCAUCGCCUCCAUCGGCAAGCUCAUGUUUGCGCAGUUCUCCGAGCUCGUUAACGACUUCUACAACAACGGGCUGCCCUCUAACCUGUCCGGGGGACGGAACCCGAGCCUGGAUUAUGGCUUCAAGGGAGCCGAGAUCGCCAUGGCCUCAUAUUGCUCGGAGCUGCAGUUCCUUGCCAACCCUGUGACCAACCAUGUCGAGAGCGCGGAGCAACACAACCAGGACGUGAACUCCUUGGGCCUGAUCUCGUCGAGGAAGACUGCCGAGGCCGUCGACGUGCUGAAGCUCAUGUCCUCCACCUUCCUGGUCGCCCUGUGCCAGGCCAUCGACCUGAGGCACCUGGAAGAGAACCUCAAGAGCGUGGUCAAGAGCACGGUGAACCAAGUGGCCAAGAAGGUCCUCUACGUCGGGUCCAACGGCGAGCUCCACCCGUCGCGGUUCAGCGAGAAAGACCUGAUCAAGGUGGUCGACCGGGAGCACGUCUUCGCCUACAUUGAUGACCCCUGCAGCGCCACGUACCCCCUGAUGCAGACGCUGAGGCAGGUCCUCGUGGACCAUGCGCUGGACGAUGUCGACCGGGAGAAGAACCCCAGCACCUCCAUCUUCCAGAAGAUUGGGGCUUUCGAGGAGCAGCUCAAGGCACUCCUCCCGAAGGAGGUCGAGAACGCGAGAGCUCAGUUCGAGAGCGGGAACUCGGCGAUCGCUAACAAGAUCAGGGGGUGCAGGUCGUACCCAUUGUACAGGUUCGUGAGGGAAGAGCUCGGGACCGGUUUGCUCACGGGGGAGAAGGUCGGCUCGCCGGGCGAGGACUUUGAUCUGGUGUUCUCCGCCAUGUGCGAGGGCAAGCUGAUCGAUCCUUUGCUGGAGUGCUUGAGGGACUGGGAUGGUGCUCCGCUUCCCAUCUGUUAGGAACUUUUCCAAAUCCUGAAGACUGCCUCAUAAUUUAAUUUGCCCUACUUUUGGUGUGUACUUAGGGAGUUUUUCAUGGUCGAGAAACUGCGGUUAAAAUUGUAAUGUCUCUUAUGACUUUUGUUCAGUUCUUUCUUAUGCAAACCCCCCCACCAGGAUGUCUAUUUGUACUUGGAACUUCAUCAGUGUAACAACAAUGUUGAAACGCGUGAAGGAAAAUAUUAUACAACAUACAUUUUGUUACAUUUUUCGUUCUUAUAAAGGAUCGCGACAUUUGAUCUGCAUUGUGAGCUAAUUGUUAUCGGGUACAUCUUAUUGUAUCUCCCAACUUGACCCUACCAAAUGUAGUAUUGGAAUGAACAUGUAUUUCUUAAAGGGAGCUACCCUCAUUAGGAAUUUGUGUGGACUUAUCCUACUCGAGUGGGUUGCGUAGUAAGAGUCAAUAUUAUAUUUAAGCUCAUGAAAAGGAACACGUUUAUAUAACAUGAAAACACAUUGUCGCGAUCUAAAUUUCGAGUGCACCACCUAAGUUUAAGCUAAUGGACUACUAAGUCUUUAAACUUAGCUCGGCUCUCCCAAGCUCAUAUCAAUUUGCGAAUUAAGGUUUAAAUAUUUAACAUGCAAAUGAUUAUUAUCUAGGAGUCGCCACUAAUCGGUUUAGUGUAGGCCGAUUAGACACUUAAGUAAAUAAUGAGAGAAUUAUUUUACUCCUACUUACACUAGAUUUCUCUAAUGCCCUUUCGGUACUAUUUCUUUUUAAUUUUCAAAGAUGUUUUUGCAUGCAGCUUAGAUUUAUUUUAAACUAAAUUAUUAUCAUGCAAUGGGAUGAUCAUACUGAUACUCAAUCAUUAUUAAACAUUGAAUAAAAAAAAUUACACCAAAUGAAUUUUACACACUAAAGCAAGUAUUUUUUGGAUUUUUCUUUUAAGUAGAACUUUAUCAUAAAUCAUGCAUUUAAACUAUAUGGCCUAAUUUUACUAACAAACUAUUUCUAAUUAAAUGAACCUAAUAUGCAAACUAAUUGACAUGCACCUAAUAUUUUUGUAUUUUUAUUGAAAUUCGGAAUUAAUAAAAACCCUAAUUAAACUAUCUAAAAAUGAAAAAAAUUCUAAUAUGUUUUAGGGGUUAAUUUGACUUAAACCCUAUCCUAUCUUAGAAAACUAUUUUUUUAAGGAAAAUGGGAUUAUCUAAAUGUGCAAACAUUAUCUAAAACCAAUCCUAAUCUAUUCCAAAAAUUAUCUAAAAAUGUAAUCCUAAAAAUGCAAUCAUAAUUUACGAAAUUGACAUGUUCCAAUGCAAGAUUUGAUUUUUUGAUUUUUUUUUUUAAUUUUUAUGUUUUUUUAGUGUUUUUCCAAGAUAAGCAAUUAUACCUAAACAAUCAAGAUAUUCAUCAAAUGAGAAUUAAAAUAAUUGAAAAAUAAUCUGUUAUCUCACGGGUUAAAUUAACAGUUAUUUUAACUCUAAACAUCACAACAUAAAGUAUCCGAAAUUUUACGGAUCAAAUUAAUAACUAUAAUGACUUAACAAUUAAAAGACCAUCAAAAUGCUAAAAAAUUAAUAUAAUUAAAAAAUGAUCCAACGUCUUAUGGAUCAAAUUAAUAAUUACAAUAAUUUUGGACAAAAUUCCUGCAAAUAAUGCCUACAAGAUUCAUGAAAUGAAUAUUGACAUACCAUGUUCUAAUUUAACAAAACUUAAAAAAACAAUAAAAUAACAUAAAAUAAAAGAAUUUUUAAAAAAAAAAAACCACCUAAGGAAGACUUGAAAAGGGGGACCAACAGCGCUGGUCAGCGACGGGCGGAGCACAGCGGAAGGCAGGCGUCGCUCGUGGGGCGAAGAGCAGCAGUGGCAACAGUAAGCGGAGGCGUCGCGACGGAGGGUCGUCGAGCAGAGAUUAUGGCACGCUCGGAUCUCGUUGGUGAUGGACGGCGGCUGGCAGAUCAGCAGCGGGCAGGGGGGUGCUGUGCGUGUCACGGGUCGGAGCUGAGGCGGUGGGCUCACGGGUGAGGCAGAGCACGACGGUACUGGGUUGAGCUGUUGUGGGGAGCGUCGGCGAAGCGCGGGUGAGGAGGAAAUGUGAGAUCGUCGCAGUCGGAUCAGUAGGGCGGCAGUGGUGCGUGGUGGGGCUGCGUGUCGCAGCAAGACAGGCGAAAGGCAGUGACCGGUGGCUUGGUUUCCGAGGCUGAGCUUGCAAUCGGCAGACGCGGGGACUCCGGAUCUGGGGCUCGGGCAGACGCGCAGGGAUGGAGAUGUUGGGUCAUGAGCCGGCGGGUCGACUCGGGUGUUAGAUGCAAAUUGCGUAACCCCAAGAUCUCCAUAACUAGAACAAGAACAUGCAUAAUUGAGUAGAAAGAUUAACGCACCUGUUUUGGGAUCCAUUGUUUUUGAAGCGGAAGCAGAAACACAAUCUUCCACGCACAAGUCCUUCUCCUUUAUUGCCCUCCGUAUCACUGGCUCAAUGAGGCGGCCCCCUCACGUGUAGCGUUAGGUAAACGCCCCUUAGGUGAGGAUACAUGUGAGAAUUAGAGUUAGAUGAGAGACUUGAGCACUAUUUAUAGAGUUUCCAGCCAGUCCCUCUCAUUACGGGCCAGGCUCAACUCAGCCCACACUAGCCAGCCCAUAUUAGACUAAUUAAGAAAUCUUCUAUCUCACCUUAGACCAAACCCUGUAAAACGGUAAACGUUAAACGGUAAAUUACAAUAUCAAUUAAUGUAAUCCACAAUUAGAAAAACUUUUACAUUCUCCCACUUGGACCAUAUUAAUUGAAAUCGUACUGUAUGUGCGCACAUUGGUCCAGAGAUAAUUCUUAAUAGUCAAUCCUAUCCCAUAAAGUCUUAAACACCGAAUCAUGUCGGUAACUGCAUGUAUACACACAGAGCAUUCCAUGGUCAUGAAUGUUCUCAAAUUUAUUGAUAUGGAUUCAAUAUGGUAGUGUGGCAAAUGGAUAACAUCUUUCAUAGAGAGAUCCCAUUUGUCAGUCACCAUUUUCUUAACUUUAGGCGUCACAAAAACUUGUGCCACUAGAGAAUGCUUUAUGGUUCCAAUGAACCGACAUAUGUCUUGUCCCUACGGUUAACCUUUCUUUAUGUAUCACAAGACAUAUGCACAAGGCUAAUAACCGGAUGCCUGGAUGCCCCUAGCCUUCACUCAAGGUUUAAGCAAUACAUUUGAGACUUUCAACAAUAUAUAUAUAUAUAUUCAACAUAAUAACAAUCCAUUCAAAAAUAUUUUAUUGAAUGCAAAAGUUGACAUAUAUAUAUCAAAGUGUUACUAAAUUGUAACAAAACAUAUGUAAACUUUAUUCAAGGAAAAAUAAAACACAGCUCCCACUAAAUAACAGCAUCCCAAGAUGCUCCUAGGCCCAUACUAAUGACAUGUCGAUCAAAAACAUACGGGCGUAGGCCUUUAGUUAGUGGAUCUACAAUCAUAUCAUCUGUAGGAAUAUAAUCUACUGCAAUGUUACCAUUAUGCACUAAUUCCUUUAUAGUAAAAAACUUAACCUCCAUGUGUUUAGACCCCUUGAGACUUCUAUUGUUAUUAAUAAACAACACGGCAGAGUUAUUGUCACAAUAUAGCUGUAUGGGUCUAUCCACAAAAUUAAAAACUGAUAACUCUCUAAUGAGGUUUCGGAGCCAAAUAGCUUGAGUAGUAGUUGAAAAACAUGCUACAAACUCCGCUUACAUGGUAGAAGAAGAUAUAGAUUUCUGUUUUUCGCUCUUCCAUGAUACUGCACCUCCUGCCGACAUAAAUAUAUAUCCUGUCGUUGACUUCUUAUCAUCUUGAUAACCGGCAAAAUCUGCAUCUGAAUAGCCUGCUAGUUGCAAGUCUGGAACAUGUCUAUACAUCAGCAUAUAAUCUUUUGUUCUCUUUAAGUACCUUAAAACCUUCUUGGCAGCAACCCAGUGAUCGUGUCCUGGAUUUGACUGAUAUCUGCCUAGAAGCCCUGUUGCAAAAGCAAUAUUUGGCCUAGUGCAAACUUGAGCAUACAUGUUGCUUCCAAGCACACUAGCAUAAGGUACAUCCUUCAUUUGAGCUUUCUCAAAAUUUGAAUUAGGGCAUUGUGAAAGACUCAAUUUAUCACCCUUAACAACAAGAGCAAUUCCUGGUUUGCAAUCCUGCAUAUUGAAUCUUUCUAAAACGCGAUCAAUAUACGCCCUCUAAGAUAAACCCAAUGAACGGCGUGAGCGAUCCCUAUGGAUCUCAAUGCCAAGAACAAAAGACAUCUCACCAAGGUCUUUCAUAUCAAAAUUUUUCGAUAACAUCCGCUUUGUCUCAUGUAGUAAACCAAUGUCACUACUAGCAAGUAAGAUAUCAUCUACAUAAAGUAUGAGAAAAAUAUAUUUCCUCCCACUGACCUUGGUAUAUAUACACUGAUCUACUUUGUUCUCAAUAAAUCCAAAUGAAGUAACAACACUAUGAAACUUGAAAUAUCACUGUCUAGAAGCUUGCUUAAGGCCAUAAAUAGACUUUUUCAAUCUACAAACAAGCUUACUUGACAAAACCUUCAGGCUGUACCAUAUAAACCUCCUCAUCAAGGUCUCACUUUAGAAAAGCAGUCUUAACAUCCAUCUGGUGUAACUCCAUAUCAUAAUAAGCUACCAAUGCCAAGAUCACUCUAAAGGAAUCUUUAGAAGAAACUGGAGAAAAUGUUGCUUCAUAAUCUAUUCAUUCUCUUUGAGUGAAACCCUUAGCUACCAGUCUGGCUUUAAACUUUUCAAUCUUUCCUUUGGAAUCCCUUUUAUUCUUGAAUACCCAUUUGCAACCAAUAGGUUUACAACCUUCAGGCAAUUCAACAAGCUCCCAAAUACCAUUAUGUUUCAUAGAUUGCAUCUCAUCUAACCAUAAAUCUGAUUGAGGACAUGAGAUGGCAUCAGUAUAAGUUACGGGAUCAACAACACAGCCUAUAUCAUAAUCAUGCUCUCCUAGGUAAACUAAAUAGUCUGGUGGUAUAGCUGAACGUCUUUCUCCAGUUGAUCUUCUGAGUGGAGCUACUUCAACCUCAAUCUGAAUUUGAGCUACUUCAUCAGGAACUGUCUCAACAAUAGGAUCAUGUGCUACAACAGGCUCAGUUUGUGGCGCAAGAGGCUCCAUAAUUGUCUGCACAGGAUGAGACAAGGAUCUAGUAAUCCCCACCAUACUAUCAUCUUCGAUAGCUUGUGAGCAGCUACCAUUUUCAGCUACAUCAAAUUCUAGAAAUUUUGCAGUAUGAGAUUCCACAAUUUUUGUACCUCCAUUAGGGUUAUAAAACCGAUACCCUUUUGAAUGAUCUGGGUAAGACACGGAGUAACACCGAGUAGUUUUGGAAUCCAGCUUACUCAAUGUUGGAUUAUAUAACUUCACUUCUGUUGGACAUCCCCAAACUUUAAGAUGAUUCAAGCUAGGUUUACGUCCAGUCCACAACUCAAAAGGAGUCAAUAGAACCGCUUUAGUAGGAAUGUGAUGAAUAUAAAGAGCUGUUUUCAAAGCUUCUCCCCACAGAAAAUUAGGUAAAUUGGUCAUACUAAUCAUACUUCUCAUCAUGUCCAUAAGAGUACGAUUCCGCCUUUCAGCUACACCAUUUUGUUCAGGACUUUUGGGCAUAGUAAACUGACCUAUUAUCCCAGAAUCCUCUAAGUAUUUAGCAAACCGCCCUUUAAGUUGGCCAGCAUCACUGUGCCUACCAAAAUACUCACCACCACGAUAAGAUUUGACAAUCUUAAUAACUUUUCCCAACUGUUUCUCCACUUCAGUCCGAAAAAUCUUGAAUUUAUCAAAAGACUCGGACUUUUCUUUAAUCAAGUAUAAGUAUCCAUAUCGGGAAUAGUCGUCAAUAAAUGUGAUGAAAUAAAAUUUUUUGCACAAAGUAGCCGUGUAUGGUCCACUAAUAUCAGUGUGAAUAACCUCCAACAAGUUUGAACUUCGUACAACAGAUUUCUUCUUUAUCUUAGUCAUCUUACCUCUGCAACAAUCUAUGCAAGUCUCUUGAUCAUCUUUAAGAGUAGGCAAGAUAUCAGCAUUUAUAAGCCUUUCUACUCUAUCUUUAGAGAUGUGACCAAGAUAUUUAUGCCACAAUGCAUAAGACUGUUCCUUAGGUAGAGGCCUUUUGGAAACAACAUUUUCAGGGGAAUAAGCAACGUAUAUGUCGUUGGGAGAUAAGCUCAAUCGAUAUAAUCCAUUGGAUAAAUUGCAACACCCAAUCUUAUUUGAAUCAUAAAACAUGGAAAUAGUAUUACUCUUUAUUUCAAAAGAGUAUCCACACAUGUCCAAACAAGACACAGAAACUAAAUUCCGCCUAAAAGAAGGUAUGUAAAAAGUGUUUCUUAACACCGUCCGAAAACCAGAAUCUAAAAUCAAAAUAACAUCUCCCACGAACUCAACGUCAACUCCAACGCUGUUUCCAACAGUGAGCUUUGAUUCAUCCCGAUUUGGCGUCAUUCGGUUUAUGAACCCCUGAAUGGUAAAUGCAACAUGAUUAGUUGCACCACUAUCUAGCCACCAGGAAUUGAUCGGAACUUCAGAUAGAUUGGAUUCAUAAACAAAUGCCAAAGAAUCAUUACCUUUAGGCUCUCUCUUAUUUCUCUUAGACAACCAAGCCUUAAACUUGCUGCAACGUUUCUUCACGUGUCCUCUCUCCCUACAAAAGUAGCAAAGAACACCAUCCUUCUUGGUGAAUGCUUUCUUAGGACCCAGAGUGUUAGAAGGACCUGCACCUUCAGAAUUUCCUUUGUUGUUGGAAGGACCAGCAACUUCUGAAUUGCCUUUGUGAGUAUAGUUCUUCAACUUCUUACCCUUGUCACUAGCAGAACUAGAAGCAUAAAGAGCAAUAUGUCAUUUAUCUUUCUUCAAUUUCUCUUCCUCUGCCACCAACCUUGCAAUCAGGUCAUUAACAGACCAGGUUUCAUAUUGGGAACUAUAAUUGGUCUUGAUAAUCCCAAAAUCAAGAGGAAGAGUAUUUAGAGCUUGAUGGACAAUGCAAGCAGUAGGAAUUUCAACAUUGAGAGCCUGAAGUUUUGUUUGUAAAUCAACCAUCCUCAGAACAUAAUCUCUAACUCCACCAGAACCAUCAUACGUCAUAGUAAAAAGUGUUUGCAUGUGUGUUCCUAUCUCAACAUUAGGUGAGACACGGUUCCUAGCCAUCAAAGCUUCCAUCAUCUGCCUAGCAUUGCAGUCUGCAAGCAAACCACUUUUCAAGUGUUCUUGAAUGGAACGCUUCAUGAACAGCAAGCAAAUUCUAUUGCUCUUUUCCCAUGCAGCAAAAUUUGCUUUUUGAGCCUCUGUACUCUCGGUAGUCAAAUCUGCCGGCCGAUCAGUAGUAAGAGCCAUAUGAACAUUUGCCAUCUCCAUAACAAACAUAAAAUCCUCUCUCUAUCUCUUAAAAUUCGAACCAGCAAGAACCUCAAUGGUGACAGAGUUACCAUUUACAGAAAAGGUGAUUGAAAAACAAGCAGUAUAUAUAAUUAGCAUCAUGUGAGCAUUGUGUAACUUGACGUACAAGUACACAUCCAGAGAGUUACAUGCAAAAUCACAUAAUCACCUUUGGGCAGAAUACAUGACAUGCAAUUGUACACUCCCCACAUGAAAAGGGUUAUGAGAAUAUAUUCCAAUCUUCGUGAANNNNNNNNNNNNNNNNNNNNNNNNNNNNNNNNNNNNNNNNNNNNNNNNNNNNNNNNNNNNNNNNNNNNNNNNNNNNNNNNNNNNNNNNNNNNNNNNNNNNCCUUUGGGCAUAUGAACCAUUAGGAUCGGUCACUCCUCCACCACACUAUCAUGUAUCCCUCCAUGAACUAAUACAUAAUCACCUCUUUUGGGAGUAUAACUAUGCAUUAAACCAGGAGACAUCCCAAUCAAUAUAUGAGAUCGAAAUUUCUCAAACCCAAUCAAGUGUGCCACUUUGGCGGUCACAACUCAAUUGAAUCAUUGAAAUUCUCUCAUACCAUGGAUAUAAUUUUUACAUCUCACAUACACCAUAUACAUGUGAUUUAACUUUAGUGAUAGGGGCAUCAUAUCACUCAAAUCACAUGCUAUGCUAAUUACACUGCCUUAUUCAUUAAUAAAAUACAAUAAAGUUUAAUUUUUAUUAAUGAAUCACACUUUUAUAAUGUUUAUGUGAUAACAUAUUGUCGCGACCAGAUUUUCGCGGGUGUGAACCACUUAUGAUUUGGCUAAUGGAUUGCUAAGUCUUUAAGCUUAGCUUGGACUCUCCCAAGCCCAUACCAAUUCGCGACUUAGGUUUUAAUUCUUAACAUGCAAAAUUUUUUAAUUAGGAGUCGCCACUAAUCUAUUUUUGGUGGGUCGAUUAGAAACCCAAGUAAAAUAAUGAGAGAUUUAUUUUACUUCUACGAACCAGAGACUAAGGGUACGGGGACUUGGUUACACUAGAUUUCUCUAAUGCCCUUUCGGUACCAUUUCUUUUUAAUUUUUCAAAAUGUUUUUUUUUUGCAAGCAUCUGAUUUAUUUUAACCUAAAUUACUAUCAUGCAAAUGUGGUGACCACACGGGUGCUCAUCCAUUAUUAAAGCAAUCGAAUAAAUUGCAUCACACAAAGCAAGCAAUCAUUUUUUUUGAGUUUUCUUAAAAAUUAGAAUGAUUUUAUGAAAAUGCAUUUUUAAACCAAAUGACUUAAUCUUAUUAAUAUGCAAAUUUUAAUUAAAUGGGCCUAUUAUGCAAACUAAUUAUUAUGCACCUCAUGACCUAACUUCACUAAUUAACAAGUUAUGAUUAAAUAAUCCUAUUAUGCAAACUAGUUAACAUGCACCUAGUAUUUUUGCAUUUUUCAUAUUGAAAUUCAGAAUUCAUGAAAACCUUAAUUAAUCUAUCUAAAAAUGAUAAUUUCCUAAUUUAUUCUAGGGAUUAGUUUGACUUAAACCCUAUCCUAUCUUAGAAAGCUAUUUUUUUGGGAAAAUGAGAUAAUUAGAAUAUGCGAACAUUAUCUAAAACCCUAAAAAAUAUUUAGGUUCAACCCUUACUUAUUCCUAAAAAUGCAAUCUUAAAAAUGCAAUCCUAAGAAAAUCCUAAUUUGUUAAACCUACAUGCUUGAUUUACUAAACCUAUAUACUCAUGCAGAAUUUUGAUUUUUUUUAUCUUAUGAUUUUUUAGUUUUUUUUUAAGAGAUAAGUAAUUGUUAAAUCUAAACUAUCAACAAAAUCAAGCAAGAAAUGAUUAAAAUAAUCGAAAAAAUAACCUGUUGUCUCACAGGUCAAAUUAACGGUUAUUCUAACCAUAGUUAUCACAGCAGAGAGAUCAAAAUAAUUACAAAUCUGAUCCGAAGUCUUACGGACCAAAUUAAAUAAUCAUUGUGAUUUAACAAUUAAAAUUUCACUCAUAAAGCCCAACAAUUAAAAUAAUUAAAAAAAUGAUCCAAUGUCUCUUGGAUCAAAUUAAUAAUUAUAAUAAUUCCAGACAAAAUCCCUGCGGAUAAUGCAUACUAAAUUCACAAAUAUUAACAUCAAAUAUUACAACUUAAAUAGAUAAAGUAAAAAUGAGAUAAAAUAGAACAAAAUAAAUAAAAGAAAAAGCUAAACCACCUAAAGAAAGAGGGGCUUGCUGCAGCGUUGAUGGGCGCCGGACGGACGGUGGCCGGUGUCGGGUACUGCAGGUCAGUGACGGCAAGGUGGCGCGGGAGGUGCAGGCACGGGCGUCGGGUCGAGCAGCGAGAGGGCUCGCGGGCGUUGCGGGUCGCAGGCUGCUGCACAGCGAUGCUCGCGGGUGCUGGUGCGCGGAGCAGGGGCGGAUGUCGAAGCAGAGACUGGCGGAGGGCGAUUUGCAGAGGUGGGUCGUGUACGGAUCGGGACCUGCUGUCUUUAGGGGCCACGGUGUCGAGCACGGCAAGAACAAGGAGAUCGGCAAGCAGCAGGGUCGCGAGUCGCAACGAUGGUGGUGAGCAGUGGCGUCGAGGUGAGCUCGCGGGUGUAGAGGCGCGGCGGCGUCAGUUGCUGUAGAGGUGGAGUCGCGCUGGCUGAGGCGCGACGAGUGCCGGGCGGUCUGAGACCCGAUCGUCGGACUGCUGGCGUUGGGUUCGCAGAUCGCGGUGGUGCUCGUGCGGAGAUGCGGUGGGCUUCGGAGCGAGGCGGUUCUGGUGCGGCGACCAGUAGCGACGAACGGGUGAGCUGCUGCGACGGUGCUGGUGCAGAGGCGGGGCAGCUUCGCGGACGAACGACGACGGGCUGGCGGAGGAAACACCGAUGCGGUGGCCGGCGUGGAAUCUGUGACUGGAGGCGCGGCGAAUCGGGCAGCGAGAGGAACAGCGAGGAAGAUGAACAGUAUGAGUCAAAUCAGCCUUUUUACUUUACCUUUUCUCCUCUCUCUCUCUCUCUCUCUCUCUCUCUCUCUCUCACGUUCUGACUUUUCCUUUUCUUUUUUUUUUUCUGCAGUUUUUUUACUGCAGAAGCAAAACCUCCCUUGACCUACCUUUCUGAAUGUUUUUUUCAAGAAGCCCCCCCGGACGAAGAGAAGGCCACCCCCAUUUAUAGAGUGAAAACUUAGUCUGCUCAACCUACGAAGAUUUGCAUAACAACUCAAUCGUUGAAGAUCAUCUUUCGAGAUUAUCGUGUAUGCUGACUCACUCGGCCAUUGAAAUCAUCUAUUAAAAUCUUUCAAGCUGACUCGCUCGACCAUUGAAGAUUUUAUAUGCUGACUCAGCGAUUGAAGAUAAAUUGGAAUUUUUUUGUGAAGAUUUUCCAAAUAAUUCACUUUAGAUAAAACUCCAUUAUCCAAUUCUAAAAUCUUUCGAGAUAUCCAUCCGCAACAAAAUAUUUUAGAAUAUUCCUUAUCCUCCUUAAUAUUCCCAACUUUAAGAUUACAGUGCGAUUUUUUAAUUUCCAAANNNNNNNNNNNNNNNNNNNNNNNNNNNNNNNNNNNNNNNNNNNNNNNNNNNNNNNNNNNNNNNNNNNNNNNNNNNNNNNNNNNNNNNNNNNNNNNNNNNNGAUAAUUAAUUAAACAUAACGACGAGCUUGAGUAAUUUUCUCAUGAGCUUAGUCAGCCUAUUAAUUUAAAACCCAAAAUCACUAAUUCAACCCAUCCACCACCGGUACAGUAAAUGCAAAUAAAAAAUAAAUGCACCUACAACUAAAUGCUAUGCAAUUAAUUAAUUAUUGAUUAAACCCUAAUUUUAAUGCGAUAAAUGACUAAACGGGUAGCCAAAAUUUAGGUGUCAACACAUAUCAAUAACCCAACACAUGUAUUUCCAAAAAUACAGAAAAUACAAGAAAAAUACGCAAAAAUACACUAAAAAUUCACGUAUUUAGGGCUUUGCAUGUAUUUUCACAUCCAUAAAAUCAUCAAACAUGCAAAAUAAAUACACCAUGAUGUAGGGAAUAAUCAUACGAGUCCAUCGCCGCCGGCCACGCGCGAAUCGGAGCCUCCACGCGCCCGCACGCGCCACCUGAGUGCGCGGCGCGUGUUCGAUGCCCAGGCGGCGCGUGGCCGCGCAUGGGGGCACGUGCGGCCUCCUUUGGCAACGCGCCGCCUAUGGCUUUCUUCGUCUCGUCGAGCCCAAUCCGAAUAUAUAAUUUAAUUUAAUUUUUAUUGAACAAAAAAUCUCGAAAAUCUCAAAUUAGGGCAAAAUCCUUUGCGUUCGUGUUCUAGGGUUAUGGAGGCUCUGAUACCACAUGUUAAACACAAAUUGCGUAACCCCAAGAUCUCCAUAACUAGAACAAGAACAUGCAUAAUGAGUAGAAAGAUUAGCGCACCUGUUUUGGGAUCCAUUGUUCUUGAAGCAGAAGCGGAAACACAAUGUUCCACGCGCAAGCCCUUCUCCUCUAUUGCCCUCCGUAUCACUGGUUCAAUGAGGCGGCCCCCUCACGUGUAGCGUUAGGUAAACGCCCCUUAGGUGAGGAUAUAUGUGAGAAAUAGGGUUAGAUGAGAGACUGGAGCACUAUUUAUAGAGUUUUCAGCCAGUCCCUCUCAUUACGGGCCAAGCUCAACUCAGCCCAUAUUAGACUAAUUAAGAAACCUUCUAUCUCACCUUAGACCAAAUCCUGUUAAACGGUAAAUUACAAUAUCAAUUAAUGUAGUCCACAAUUAGAAAAACUCUACAUCGGGGUCCGACGAGCAAAGGAAUCGGGUCGCAGCACGGCAGAGCAACUCAGGCGUGAUGGAAUCUCGGAGCAGCGUAGCUCGGUGGCGUCGGCGCAGCAUGGGUCGUCGGAGCAGAGGGCUGUCUGUUGAGCUCCGGUACUGCUCGAAGGGCUGGGCUCGUGGAAAAGUUGGGUCGGCAGUGUUGGUGAGGAGGAGCUGUCGGUCUGCGGGCAGCAAAUUUUGGCGAGUGCGAGGGGAAGAGGAUGAACAGUAAACAUCCAAUCCCCCUGCCAAUUAAACUUUGGCUUCUGAUUUUUCCUUUUUUUUAAUUUUUCCUCUCUCUCCUCUUACCCAUCUCUUCAUACACACACACACACACACACACACACACACACACACACACACACACACUCUCUCUCUCUCUCUCUCUACCUUCUUUUGACUUUUUCCUCUUUACCUCUGCCGCAAACCGAAGCUCUCCUCUCUUUUUUUCUCUCUUUUCACUUUUCACUUUUUUUUCACCAGAAGAAGCCCCCUCGUACGGCCGUAUAUUUGAUGCGUCGUCUCCCCCAAAACCGAGUAACUUUUUAUAGGCUAAAGAUUAGGAUUUUAAUUUCCUUUUCAAAUUAAUAUUCGCGAAAAUUUCUUUUCCGUACACAAUAUCGUUUUUUAUUUUCCACAUCUCUUCUAGAUUUCCUUUGCAAAAAAAAAAAAAAAUAUUUUCUAUUGAUUUUUUUCAAAAAUUGCAAUAGGAUUUUUUUCAAAUAUGAGCUUAGGCCAAAUUGCUCGCUUCGUGGGCUUAGUUCGGUCUGUUAAGUUAAAACUCAAAACCAUUAAUUUGAACCCAUUUACCACCAGUCCAAUAAAUAAAUGCAAAAAAUAUAAAUUUAAAAUAAAUACACGUAAAUCUAUAUGCUAUGCAAUUAAUAUUUUUUUUAGAGAUAAAAUUAACCCAUAAUUUUUUAAUGCGAUAAAUGACUAAAAAGGUCACCAAAAUUUAGGCAUCAACAUACAUUCAUACAAUAUAUAUGCAUUGUGAUUGAUAUAGUCUGUCAUAUUACUUUAAUUAAAUGAAUGUAUAUCAUUUUAGGGCUCCCCAUGUAUAAAAAAGUUAAUUUGCCUUUAAAAAAAAAAGUUAAAGGCUACUCAUCUCUGCAUAGGCCCACAAUGAUGCCCGACCAACCUCUUGGCUUGGCUUUUGGAAGAGGUUGACCUAUCGAGCAUGAAUUUCGGGAUAAGUACACUAAUGGUGCCAUAAGUUGUGUAUGGCGCUCACUUUGGUGCUAAAAGUUUCCGUCGGAUCACUUAAGUGCCAAAUCGGAGGAAAAACGCUCACUUUGGUGCCAUUGGCGAAAGAUUCCGGCCAAAAUAAUUACGUGGUUUUUUUUUUAAAUCGACAAGGCCUUAAACGACGUCGUUUUGUCGUCCUACAUGGAUGGCCUUACAAAAAUGACGCCAUUUAACCCAUUGGGGAUUGAAAUUAGGGUUUCGACUUGGCCGCCGAGUGGCCGUCGUCGGGGUUGGGGUCGGGGUCAGGGUCGAAGCUGCGGCCGCCGAGUGGCCAUCAUCGAGGUUGGGGUCGGGGUCGAAGUUGCGGCCGUCGAGUGGCCAUCGUCGGGGUCGGGGUCGGGGUCUGAGCCGCGGCCGUCGAGUGGCCAUCGUUGCGGUCGGGGUCGGGGUCUGAGCCACGGCCGUCGAGUGGCCAUCGUCGCGGUCGGGGUCGGGGUCGGGAUCGGGAUCGGAGCUGCGGUUGCCAAGUGGCCAUCGUCGGGGUCGGGGUCGAGGUCAGAGCCGCUGCCGUUGAGUGGCCAUCGUCGGGGUUGGGGUCGAGGUCAGGGUCGAAGCCGUGGCCGCCGAGCGCAAGGACCGUCGAGGACGGCGACGGCCGGAGAUUAGGGUUUUGAAUUGGGGGAGACACCAAACGGCGUCGUUUUAAUGUUAGGAUGCUGACUGUGUUCUCCGGUGAGCCACAUCAGCUUAAAAAAUUAAUAAAAAAGUGCCACGUCGAAUUUCCGGCCAACCGGAUCGGAGUUGGCACCAAAGUGAGCGUUUUUUAAAUUUUUUGGCACUUAAGUGAUUUGACGGAAACUUUUGGCACCAAAGUGAGCGCCGUACACAACUUAUGACACCAUUAGUGUACUUAUCCCCAUGAAUUUCUAUGUGGGUUGGCCCGAAAAGGCAAUAAAUCUUUUGGGAUGGGACGUAUAUUCCCAAUUGAGUGGGUACCUCGAGAGUAGGAUAACUCUAUGAUCGGCAAUUAUGAGACACCAUUCCCAAACAAGUAUCACAACUUCGAAUUUUCCUCGAUGCACUCGGCCUAAUCCAUGUGGAGGUUUUUGCCUAAAAUGGUAACCUAGCUAGCAAAACCGAAGUGUCACAUGGAUCUAUUUAGGACAUGUCACGGUCGAUUCCUAGUGUUCGAACCUCAAAAUUAUGGCCCCAAAGCCGAAGAGAAUCUCAAGGAGUCCGGACACCUAAAGUGUCAAAACUUGGCAUGGAGGGAUAGUUAAGUGUCAAAAGUUAGAAAAGUGAUACUUAAGUGCCAAAAUCGAAGCAAAAUGGAUUACUUAAGUACCACUCUAGUGAAAAUCCAACCAAAAUACCAUCGCUCGCGGUGGUGCAGCUGGCUUUAGGCUCUCUCCCCCUUACGAAGGGGAGGAGUUCGAAUCCUAGAGGCAUCGCAUUCGCGCGACUCGCCAUCGCAUUCGUGCGACUCACCCGCGGCUGGGUCUGUGGUGGUGGCUCAGUCCGCCUUAGGUUUACGCCGUCGGCUGCCAGCUGUACAGUGGUUCCCGGGUAAAAAAAAAAAAAUCCGACCGAAAUGCUGAUGUGACGAUUUUCUAGCAAAAUUAGUGCAAAACGGCAUCGUUUUGACGCUGACAUGGUAAAAAAUUAAUAAAAUUAAAUUUAACACUAAAUUUACUUAAAAAAUUUAAAAAUAUAAAUACAAAUAUUAAAUAAUAUUAAAUAAUAUUUUAAAGGGGGGGGGGGGGGGGGGGAAAAUAUACUUAUAACUGCUUAAUUCUACGAUCACCUGACUUCGUCCAAGUUAUAGUCNNNNNNNNNNNNNNNNNNNNNNNNNNNNNNNNNNNNNNNNNNNNNNNNNNNNNNNNNNNNNNNNNNNNNNNNNNNNNNNNNNNNNNNNNNNNNNNNNNNNGGGAAACCAAAUAGAACUUGGGCUAUUCUCUGACAGAGAGAAAUAAGAAAAUAUGGAAAACUUGCCAAUGCUCGGUUUCCAUAACAUAUUUUAAUUUAAUUUGAUUUCUCACAUCACAAAUAGAGCGUUGUAAACUGUGACAAGAGACCGUUAUUAAUAAAAAAGAUUGUUGUUUGUUUAUGCAUAAGUCCUAUCAAGUGAAACUGUAGGAAUUGGGAACAAAAGGGCAGUGAGAUCAUGGGAAAACUCGUAAAAUAAAAGUUGCAAUGAACUUGAGAGAGAGAGAGAGAGAGAGAGAGAGAGAGAGAGAUUCCCUCCAAGUUCUCGGUAUAGAAUAUGAAGUGACGAGCACGUAUGCAUGUCUGAAUCGCUUCUUAAUGUCCGAAGGUUUCCAAAUUCCAACAUGAUGAGGUAUCAAUGCCAUUACAUGUUACUUUAAUCAACUCUUGCACAUGUGGAUGUCGAGUCACGAGCAGCUCCGUGUUGAAAGACAAGGAGCAUGAGUCAUCAAAAAACGGAUCUUGAAGAAGAGAAUCCAUACUUUUCUGAAAGUUGGAGGUAGAAUUCAAGUUGAAAUUGAUGAAAGCAGGUAACCACGUUUGAACUUCGAUUUACUAUUAACUCGACGGUAAACCCACACCACCUUCCGUGCCCUUUUGUGCGCUUCGCUGUUAUCAAACCAUAACCGAUCAAGUUCAUAUCAAACUUAAUGUCGCGCAGCUUGUGUAAUUGACAAAUUGAUAAGGAUGUUAGGUUGGCCACCAUAUCAUGUGAUGGCGGAUUCUAUUCAAAUUUAGCUGAACCUCGACUGGUUCAAAGGUGGUAUAGUCCCACUUUUUAGUCUCUAAUAAGCCGUCGAAAGCACAAGCAUGGAUACCUUUGAUCUUCCCACUCAAUUUGAGGUCCAUAUAGGAGAUUGAAUGUGGAGAAAUGGGUGUGUAUUUGGUAUCACUGAAUUCUCUGAGUCUCUGACAGACUCCAUCAUCUGGUUACCUCUCUUUUGUGGAAAGUUCCCUUGUGUAGCAUUAGUGCAGAAGAGCACAUAGUUUCAGCUUCCUGGGGACAAGUUGUCUAGGGCAGAUAAGGACAAAAAGUGGAAGAUCCUCGUUUAGACACAUCACUCCAAUGUAAAACAACCAACGGAUUUCCCCAGACAUGGGCAAUUCCAAUCAUUCCUAAUCCUCAGAGUGGUCGGAUGUCAAUGCGUCUGUCUCUCUCCCUACCUCACACGUUCAAUGUUUCUUGCUUCAUGCCUUCGAACUUGGGUUGGCCUGGCCGGUGAACUCAACCAAAUGGGGAAGCGUAUAGCUCGCUCUUCUUCUGUUCGAUUGACCUCUUUCGAAUGUGAAUUCUGGGUUUGUCUCUCCCUCUAGAGAUCGAUGGACACACGCAUCGAUCAAAGCGGGUGAGUGAACUUUGACGUGUUCUUACUCUUUCGCUUUCUAAACAAUUUUGGUUAGGGAUGGCGAAAGACCGUGAUUCUAAUGUUGUUUUUCCGAAUAGGCCUCUCUAUACGUGCUGACAAUAACCCUAUAUUUUGGAAUAAUAUGAUAAAUGCAAGCAAUAAAGGGAUUGAUUUUACCUUCUAUGUUCACGGGAUGUCGAGUUUUCUUCGUGAUGACAAAUCACUUUAUAAAAUAUAAUUCGUCUAAACUUAUUUAAAGCAUAGACCUAAAUAAAGUGAGAUGAUCAUAUAUAUAUAUAUAUAUAUAUAUAUAUAUAUAUAUAUAUAUCCAUAGCAAAAUUCAAUUGUCUUGUAAUCAAGGAGUAACCCGAGAAUCUAUCCAUCAAUUCAGAAACUACCAUUCCCUUCACGUACCAGAUAGGAUAUAAAAUAUACCUACGCCAUACCAACUGCCGAAGUAAAAUAACCAGAAACCAUAAAGUGAAGAUCAAUUAUUUGCCUUCAUUAGCCGUUACAUUGUCUCCUCGAACUUGUAAAUCUCCCCUUUUUGGCUAAUACGCUAAUCAAUCCACAAAACGUUAUCAAGUAAGGACCUGUAAAAUUAAGUGCUGUAGGCCUGAAAGAUUCAUUUGCUGACAGCAUUCUGUGCAAGUUGGGAACUAACUUGGAAUGGUUGAGGAAGCUUCGUUUGCUAAGUAUGUUAAGGUAUUCAUGUACUGCGUAUAGCACACCAAAAGCAAAACUCAUUAGUAGAGCAACAUAUAUGGAGAGAGAUCCCAUAUAAAUAUGUGUGUCCACCAAUCCACCCAAACGGCCACACACUUGGGUUACAUAGAGAUGGAAGGACAAGCCCAGCGUUCGAAAGAAAAGUAACAUUUUGACAUUGUUAUGGCAGUCAAACAAAGGCUUGCGAGCAAUUAAGUAGUAAGCAAGCAUCCAAAACUAAAUAUAUCAGAAGCACGCCCAGCUGAAGCCGUUUUGCACCAGAUCACUUUAGGAGCAGUGCAAUUGAGUGAUGGCUGCAAAAGACAGUACAGAAUCCUCAAAACCAUAUUCCUGCACGAUCAUUACAAAAGCUGGCAUAAGUAACCAAACUGCCAUCAUACUAAUAUCCGCAAUAACAUGCUGAACAAAAUGUGGGAAUUGUGCCUCACAAUACUGUCAUGACUUGCAUACAAGAGAAUUUUCAGUCUGUUUCCACAGUUUAACGUCACUAAGUACUAGAUCAAGAAUGGUUGGGAUAGCAUGAGAACAAGAAUCGAGUAGGGAGAAACUACAAAAACACAAUCAGUCACUAACUUGAAGUCAGGAUGAGUAAAAUCAUCGUGAAUAAAGGAAAAUGAUAAGUAACUUUCACCAACCUCUAUUGUGAGAUCAAAAUAAGAAAAGGAAUGUGCAACGGUUAUGUCCCAAAGAAUAGAGAGAUGAAAACAAAGUCAGUUUCCUUCACUCAUCAUCUUAUUGAGUUAUCCACACACAGAAUAAUGAAAGAGUUGCAGACUAGAUAAAUCCACGGUGGCCUGAUAUGAGGAAAUGGCAAAAUCAAAUCCACCAAGCUUCCAAGAUCCACUUGAUGUAAUAAGCUCAUUCUGCAAAAAGAUGUUCCGACAAUUACUUAUGCAUGUCCAAAUACCCAUAUGCUCUUCUUAAAUCCUGAAUUUAAGAGUGAAACAACAUAAUUUUACUUAAAAAGGGUAGAAACACCACCCAUUAAAGGGAAAGACAAAAUUAUCUUCUUUUAAGAGUGAAACAACAUAAUUUAGAAAUUACCAACUUAUUUGGAGCUUGCAAAUUCCCAAAUUUUGUACAAAAUUAUCUUAUUUUAUUUGCAUAUUUACUAAGGACAAAUUCCAAAAAGUGACCCGAAGUGCCAUCUUUUCCUCAAAUAAGGGCUAAAAGUAGAUAUUAUUUCAAAUAAGGAUUGGAAGUGCCAUCACUUUCUCAAAUAAGAACCUGAAGUGAAUAUUGUUUCAAAUAGAAUCUAAAGCAGUUAUGUUUGUUUUAAUAAAGAUUUGAAGUGGCUAUAUCUGUUUUAAAUAACUUUCGGGCAAUCACGGUAUUUUCGUCAUUUGUUAUUUUUCCCCCCCUUUUUUUUUCCAGUUCUUCUUCUUCCUCUUCGCUGGUGGACUAGCGAAGAGGAAGAAGAAGAACCCAAAAAAUAAAAGAAAGGAAAAAAAGGGAAAAAUGCCAAUGAUGAACCGAUUGGAAAAUUUAGCGGGUUGGUGACCGGCAAAGUUAGGUCAUUAUUUGAAACAAUCAAAGCCAUUUCAGGCCCUUAUUUGAAACAAUCAAGGCCAUUUCAGAUCAUUAUUUGAAAUAAAAUCCACUUUAGGCUCUUAUUUGAAAAAAUAAGAGCACUUCGGGUCCUUUUUUAAAAUUUUCCCUUUUACUAAUGCUUUGAAUUUGCUAACUAUUUUAUAAAAUUCAUAAGCUAAAUUAAUAUUAUUUACUAAAUUUUGUCAAAUUAAAAUUUUUAGUUUUGAUUUACCAACUAUCUUUGAAUUAUUUACGAAUAUUUAAUUUUUUUUUAAUCUACCAAUUGUCUCGUUAAAGUUACCAAGUUUGUUUGUCUUGGAGCUAUUUUUUAUAUUUAUAAGACUCAUUCAAAAAUUACCAAUCAAAAUUAGCUUGAUUUACCAACUUUUCUUCCAUUAAAUUAUCACAUAGUAUUGAGUGCCUACUUUCAUUUGAAUUACUUACCACACUCUAGUUGUUUAAAUUUUCAAUUUGUCUACUUUUCUUAUCGUUUCUAAACUUUGCUUUUCCUAGCAACUCUUGUGAUUUACCGACUCUUUUUUCAAAUAAUAUCACUAACCUAAUUAAAGUGACAUAACAACUUCUCUUCGAUUAAAUUAUCAGCUAGUCUUGGAUUGCCAACUCUCACUCGAGUUACUUAUCAAUUUUUUUUUUUAAAUUACCAACUUUUAUUAUCUUUUACGAUGUUUUAUCUUUCCUAACUCCUCCAUACAUAUUUUAUCCACAACAUGCGACGUGAUCAUACAUAAACACAUCUUUUUCCGUCGAUCUUUUCCAUACAAAAUAUACCAGACUUCUUGAGCUCCCGAUUAAUCUUCAUUAAAUGAGCUAGUUAUCUCAACUCAAAUAGUGCAUGAUGGUACAUUAUUGUAGGUUUAUACUCCUGACCAUCAUCUCGAUAGGAUAAGCUAACGCUAACAAAAUUGCCAAAUAUACGGAUUAGGUAUCAGUUUGGCCAUGGUUUGAUUAAGUCCAGGUAAUUAGCUGCACUUUUGGGUGACUCCGGUUCGAGACUCCAACUACCAAAUCAAGACUCGAAAAUACACGAGAUUAGUCAAUUUAACCAUUUUAUUUAAAAAGAUGCUAUUUCCACUUUAUUUUAUGAUUUUAAUACCUCUUCUUUUUUCUUGCAAGUUACUUCUCCGAUAUGGGCUUGUAGACGAAGAAGGGUUUGACGUGCGUAUAGUCUAACUUGAUCCGGAUUUUCUUGAUAUAUUAAGUAUAAAUCUACAAGUAAGUACCUAAAAUACAUAUAUAAUAAGCACAUAAACUCCCAUUUUCUUCUGGACUUAUCAAGAAACCUGAUGGAUGGAGACACCCUUUCGAUUCUUCCAAGGUUGCAACUUGUUGAGGGACAAAAUAAAUACACAAUUACAUUCCCAACAUUAGGAACUCGUUGAUAAUACUAGCAUGUACACGUGCAUAUUAGUCAAAACUCUAGAAAAACUUCCCUUUUUUUAUAGGUUAGCUCCAGAAUAAAGGUCGAUCUAAAUAAACACAGGUUGAAGAAUUCAAUAAUAAAUUUAAUAUUGAAAAAAAAAAACCCAAAACCUCGUCCAUACACAAACAUACAUAUAUAUAUAAGAUACACUUAAGAAUUUCGAGGUUCUUGUUUUAGUUGGUUGAAGUAGUGAUUAGCUUUUAGCCUUUCUAAGUAAAGACUAUGAAAUGUAGAGAAGGAGUUGGGACUUGGGAUUAGAUGCCUCCUCCACCUGGUACCUUGUAUCUACAUAUUGAAAAUUCUAAUAGGACAUUGAAGUUGAAGUGUUAAAAGUAUAUCUCGCAUAACUUAGUUAUCAGAUUUAUAACUAAGUUAUAUACAUCAUUAAAUUGAUUAAUAGAUUAAGAUGCACUUUCUAGGAACACAAAAAUCUACUGUCUUGUGUUCAAUUCUACGAAAUCUUUCUAUCAUAGUGGCAAAUUUAAAAAUUGUUUGCUGGUAAAAACAGUGGUCAUCAAUUUUAUUUUAUUUUCAGGUAAGAUGUUGGUAAAUUUACCAACAACUUUAUGAAAUUGCCAACUUAUUUAGAGUUUGCAAAUUUACAAAUUUUAUACAAACUUAUCUAUUUUCAUUUGUAUAUCUUGCUAAUCCUUUGAAUUCACUAAUCUUUUUUUUUUAUGAAAUUAAUAACCUAAAUUAGUGUGAUUUACUAAUUUGUCAAAUUAGGUUUUUAAGUUUUGGUUUACCAACUCUCUACGAAUUAUAACUACCUAUGGUGGUGGCAUAGUGGUUGAGUUUCAAUUCCUUUCGAGAGAGGUCUGGAGUUCGAAUCCCUGCGUCGUCUGCCUUGUUGGAAAGGAACCCACGACUUGCCUGUGGCAGAAAGGGUGGUGGUGACUCUCCUGCUCCUCCAAGGUUUACUCCGCCGUGAAGCGGCGCAUGGAGGUUCCCUGGGUACCAAAACAAAAAACAAAAAAACUCUCUAAGAAUUAUUUACCAACAUUUAUAUUUAUUUAAUCCUCCAAAUUUCCCGUUAAAGUUACCAACUUGUAUUACUUUUUACCACCUUUUAUGUAUCUUUCCUAACUCCUCCAAUAUAUGUUUUCUAAGCGACAUGUGAUGAAGACGUGAUUAUACGCAAUCACAUCUUUUUCCGUUGAUCUUUUUUAGACAAAAUACACGAGACUUAUUGGGCUCUCAAUUAAUCUCUACUAUAAGAGCUAGUCAUCCCGACUCAAAUAGCGAAGGUCCACAGUAACAUUAUAAGCUCAUGCUCCCGACAGCCAUCUCAAGAGGAUAAGCUAAUCCCUAACACAAUUGCUGGCUAAAUCCACGAAUUAUGCAUCGGUUUGGCCAUGGUUUGAUCAAGUCUUGGUGAUUAGCUGCACCCCGGUCGACUCCAGCUACCGAAACACACAUUAAUUACGCCCAAUUACUGCUAUCUGUUCAUAGGACCCGAUCGAAUAUUUGCGUCACCCUUUUUAUGUCGGAUGUAAAUUUCUUGCUGGCUUCACCUACUCGAAGGAACUGCGAUUUAGGUGGCAGGUAGCGACCCUUUCCUUUCUCUCUUGUCUUCUUUUUCUUUUAUUGCCUCGAUUUUCCUUUAUUUUCUCCGGGGUUGGUGGUAAUUGGUAGGCACGGCUUUAAUAAAUUCUCUGGCCUAUGUCCGCAUUUCAAAACGUGGUCUGACCGCAUCUGAAUUGAAAAGCUAGCUACCGUCUCCCCAGAGACUGGCGAUUUGAUCGAAAGUGGUAGGACAAAAGGGUAAUGAUAUCCAGUCUUUGGAUCGGAUGGAUGGGAUUUAUUAAUCCCCAGCUAAUCUCACUUAAUUUAAUUUACUUCGUCUCAAAAUUCGGGGCUGAGUUCUUUGAAUGUUUCCCUUGUGAGCACGGACUUGACUCGCACGUGAUUUGUGAAAUGAAGUGGAUCUUUUCAUGCAAAUAGAUGAAAACAGCAUUGGAACUUACGGUUUUAUAACUUAGUCAAGUAUUAUAGUUACACCAUUACCCAAAUUUCUGAAUAUCUUUUCAUUUUCGGGAAGUAACGAAGAAGGACAUGACUUGGGAUUUACUCUUUUUGGGUCAACAACUUAACAUGGGAUUUUUGGAACAUGACUUUUCGAUUUACUACGGUCAACAAAUUCAAAAAUAUGGUCGUUCUUAAAUUCAUUUAAUAAUCAAUUUGGGCAUAUUUAAUCUUUAUAUAGCUUCACGACCUACUCCCAAAAUAAGGUAGUUCUGUGGGCAUAUUUAAUCUUUAUAUAGCUUCACGACCUACUCCCAAAACAAGGUAGUUUUGUCUUUACCAGCAACUCAUCGAAACCGCAAUUCCACAGCAGAGUUUAGCUUAGGAAUCGAAUUUUCAUUUGACAUUUUAUUUGGUAUGUCCUAUGUUGCUAACAUCCCACAUGGUCAUGGAAUAAGGAAAAAAAAAAUUACGUGAAUGCAAUUUCUUUCUUGGGGAAAAGUCAAAAUAGAAAAAGGAAUCCCAUCGUAAAAUCUUUCUUCAAUAUAUGUGAAGACAAAAAGGUCCUCAUAUACUCUUCCAUUUGAGUUGAAAUUAUCACGCAUGGCACUACAUCGAGAUUUAUAGUUUGCACUGAAUUUUGUGAUUGGAUUGAAUUUUAAUUUUUAUUCGAUUUAAAUUUUACGGUCCAUAAAUGUUGAUUUUUUGUAAUCCGAAGCGUUCGAGACUUUGACAUUAUAUCUAUGAUUUUUUUUGGAAUCUAAGUAUUUUAAGUUACGGUGGAAAAACAAAAGGAAUAAUUUUUUUUUUAAUUAUUUGCAAAGAAGCAAGCUCAUCUUAUUACGUCAUUGAGAUAAUAAAUUUAGUUUACAAGUGAAAAAUAGAAAUUCUUCAGCACGCUUGUCUCUUGCUAUCAUUGAAGUGUUUAGUGUCAUGCGAAAUAUAAGCAAUUUAUUAAUUAUUAAGUGUUCUAAAGGGUCAAUACAUGCAAGGUUAAUAAAUUAUCAAGAUAUUGAAAUUAUAGUCAAUUGUGAUCAAGAGGCAAAUGCCUUGAAUGCUUCGAUUGUCUUUGUGUUCUACACAAUUAGUAUCUAGAAAUUGAAUUACACAUAUAAAACAAAUGUCCAUGACUUUCAUUAUGACUUACAUUAAAAAGUACCCGACGCACUUGUUAAGCAAUUUGGAUAAGCAUGGCACUACAUCGAGAUUUAUAGUUUGCGCUGAAUUUUAUCAUUGGAUUGAAUUUUAAUUUUCAUUCAAUUAAAAUUUUACGGUCCUCAAAUGUUGAUUUUUUUUUAAUCUGAAGUAUUCGAGACUUUCACAUUAUAUCUAUGAUUUUUUUUUUGGAAUCUAAGUAUUUUAGAUUACGAUGGAAAAAAAGGGAAUAGAUUUUUCUUUUAAUUAUUUGCGAAUAACAAGCUCAUCUUAUUAAUAAAUUACAUCACUUAGAUAAUAAAUUCAGUUUACUAGUGAAAAACAUAAAUUCUUCAGCAUGCUUGUCCCUUGCUAACAUCGAGCAUCAUGCAAAAGAUAAACAAUUUGUUAAUUAUUAAGUGUUCUAAAAGGUUGAGACAUGCAAGGUUAAUAAAUUAUCGAUAUAUCAAAAGUAUAGUCAAUUGUGAUCAAAUUGCAAAUACUUUCAAUGCUUCGAUUAUCUUUGCAUUCUACACAAUUAGUGUCUCAAAAUUGAAUUAUACAUAUAAAAUAGGUGUUCAAGACUUUCAUUAUGACUUAUGUUAAAAAGUACCCGGCGCACUUAAUAAGCAAAUUUAAUAAGAAAAUAUUCUAUUUCGAGAGUAUCAACUGUACAUGUUAAGAAAGAAGUUGAUGCGUAGAAACUUUACUUAUUUUCUUUUUAUUGAAUUGUUCAUCAAAAAAUGUCUUUGGGACCCGCUUUGUGACUUAUCCGUUCCUCUGCUCAGUGGGAGGACCCGCAUUGGUUGGUGCAUUGGUUUGGUUGGUAGGAGUAACAUCGUGCUCUCUCCCGAAUGACAUUGUCGGAACCCAUUUCUUAAUUUUUGCAAAGACGGAGUGUUUUAUUUAUUGCAAGCUCCACUAGUUUCCGAAAAGACUUGGCGCCCCGGACUCACGGACUCGCCAUGCCGCCUCGACGGAGUCCUGAACCCGACCGACCUAGAAUGGACACAAACACGAUAAUAAUUUCCAUUGGUAUAUGUUAUCGGACCGCACAUUUCUUAAGAAUUGUCGAAAGAAUAUGUCAAAAAUGGAAUAGGUACGAGUAAAAUGCGCAGGAUGAUUGUGGACAAAUAUUAAAAAUCAGAGGAUAUGACCAGUUCGUUCGCAAAAUGAUGUGAGAUGGAUUGUUUCAAUGAAUUUGGGGAGCACAAUAGUCAAAUAGUGGGGUUGGUGACCGCACGACGCGGGCUCAUGCAAAAGCGAGUCAAUACCAUGGAGUCAAAUAAGACCAUUUUAUAAUCCCACUUGUACUUCAAAAAUACUGAGAAGAGCACAAGUCAUUUGAGCAGAAAAAGUAAUUUAGUGCUAAUUUCUAGGGGUCACAAUUUCAUGGAUUUUUUUUUUAUUAAAUCAAUUUUUGGUCUGUGCCCUUAAAAUCAUUUUCCUUUCAAAGAUUAAAGUAAAUUGCCAAAUUGGGAAAUAAACAUUUUAUCAGAAAAGACAUAAAUAUUGAGCAAAAGAAAUUUCGAAAUGAAACGAAAUAAGCCUAAAAGAAAUUGAUCACUCUUAUCUUUUUUUUUUCUUUUAACAUCAUCAUUAAAAGAAUUUGUCUUGAUAUUACUUAUUAGAUUCCUCCAAUGAUGCAUUUCCGAGGUCUUCCUUCCCGUGACGUAACCCGAGAGCCAUCCUCAUUGUUCCUCAACUGGGGAGGCCAUUUCUUGUUAGUGCCUGGUGGAACAGUGUCAAUGUGCCUAGUCAUCACUUAAACGACACCAAACACCGGUUCACUCCCUCCUAUGAUUUCCCUAUUCAAAAUCUCCACCCGGUCGGGAAUUUCAAUUUGGAAACCAUCUUUGACCCGUCGACUAACCCGUCGGCCUAACCUACUCGACACUCAAUGGCGGGCGGGCCUCUCCUCUAUUUAAACGUCCGAUUUGUAGGUGAACAGACUCAGGAAAUUCACUAGCUUCUUUAGCGCAUGUGAAUUUCCUUCAUAGCAAAACACACAAAAAACGCCACCGCGCUCUUCCUCUCUCUCGCCAGCCCUCACCUUGAUCCUCGCUCGAUUUCGACUCCUCUUCUCGGGCUCUCGGCCGCUCUAGACAUUCGCAUUCACACGAGCGCGAAGAUGGACAUGGACACGGCAGCGUGCAACGGCAAGGGCUCCCUUGGGCUCUGCGCGGGGGCAGGCGGUGACCCACUCAACUGGGGCGCGGCUGCCGCGGCCCUCACGGGGAGCCACCUCGAUGAGGUGAAAAGGAUGGUCGAGGAGUCCCGGCGGCCUGUGGUCCGCCUCGGCGGUGAGACGCUGACCAUCGCACAGGUGGCGGCCAUCGCGGGGCGGGAGGCCGGCGCGGCGGUCGAGCUGUCGGAGGCGGCCCGGGCGGCAGUCAAGGCCAGCAGCGACUGGGUGAUGGAGAGCAUGAGAAACGGCACGGACAGCUACGGGGUCACCACCGGCUUCGGCGCCACCUCGCAUAGGCGGACCAAGCAAGGUGGUGCUCUGCAGACGGAGCUCAUAAGGUAAAAAAAAAAGAAGAAAAAAAGUGCUACUUCGAUAUAUUUCUUUAAAUUCUCAUUAGGUUGUUUUUAUUAACAAAUAUUCGCAGAUAUAUCGAAAAUACUUGUCAAGCAAUCGAUAAUGAAAAAAAAAUGCUGAUUUUAGGAGAUGGGUGCGAUAAUACGUUAUUCGGGAAUUGUAAUUAUCAAGAAGUGCAUAUUUAAAAAAAAAAAAUUCAAGUAAAAUCCUUUAUUUUAAUUUAAAAUUAACACCUGUCAUCUGCGGUAUAAAAUGGUCCCCCGUGAAGGGCUGCCAAGUGCUGGCUAAGCUUCCUUUCCAUAAAAGAUAUAUACCCAAACGUGCGAGUAUCAAUCCAAAGGCCGAAAUCAAUUUCUCUAUAUUUUUUAAAUAUUAGGUAACCAAAAAUAAUAUGGGAGAAGAUUAAUUAAUUUCGAAGACAACCCGUAAUAAUUACUUUUUGAAUACCUAAUUUCUCAUUUUUUCAAGACUUACUUUUGCUAUAAUUAAAUAAGUGUCUAAAUCGAUAUUCACAUUUCCUUUACUAUAAUUAAUAAUAUGUGGCUGACGAAAUUUUCCGACUGAGCCAGGUUCUUGAACGCCGGCAUAUUCGGCAACGGGACCGAGUCGUGCCACGUGCUGCCCCACUCGGCGACCCGGGCCGCGAUGCUCGUGAGGAUCAACACCCUCCUCCAAGGCUACUCAGGCAUCCGGUUUGAGAUCCUGGAGACCAUGGCCAAGCUCCUCAACCGCAACAUCACCCCGUGCCUGCCUCUCAGGGGUACCGUCACGGCCUCAGGCGACCUGGUCCCCUUGUCCUACAUCGCCGGGCUUCUGACGGGCAGGCCCAACUCGAAGGCGGUUGGGCCAAAUGGCGAGUCCCUGAACGCCGUCGAGGCCUUCCACCUUGCCGGGAUCAAGCACGGGUUCUUUGACCUGCAGCCCAAAGAGGGCCUCGCGAUCGUGAAUGGCACGGCAGUCGGGUCUGGGCUCGCUUCCAUUGUCCUGUUCGAGGUGAACAUCCAGGCCGUCCUCUCAGAGGUUCUGUCGGCGAUCUUCGCCGAGGUGAUGCAAGGGAAGCCGGAGUUCACCGACCACUUGACCCACAAGCUCAAGCACCAUCCCGGACAAAUUGAAGCUGCAGCUAUAAUGGAGCACAUCUUGGAUGGGAGCUCCUACGUGAAGGACGCUCAAAAGCUCCACGAGAUCGACCCUCUCCAGAAGCCGAAGAAGGACCGAUACGCGCUCCGCACGUCCCCGCAGUGGCUCGGCCCCCAGAUCGAAGUGAUCAGGGCCGCCACCAAAAUGAUCGAGAGGGAGAUCAACUCUGUCAACGACAACCCGCUGAUCGACGUCUCCAGGAACAAGGCUCUCCAUGGAGGGAACUUCCAGGGGACCCCGAUUGGGGUUUCCAUGGACAACACCCGUCUCGCCAUCGCCUCCAUCGGCAAGCUCAUGUUUGCGCAGUUCUCCGAGCUCGUUAACGACUUCUACAACAACGGGCUGCCCUCUAACCUGUCCGGGGGACGGAACCCGAGCCUGGAUUAUGGCUUCAAGGGAGCCGAGAUCGCCAUGGCCUCAUACUGCUCGGAGCUGCAGUUCCUUGCCAACCCUGUGACCAACCAUGUCGAGAGCGCGGAGCAACACAACCAGGACGUGAACUCCUUGGGCCUGAUCUCGUCGAGGAAGACUGCCGAGGCCGUCGACGUGCUGAAGCUCAUGUCCUCCACCUUCCUGGUCGCCCUGUGCCAGGCCAUCGACCUGAGGCACCUGGAAGAGAACCUCAAGAGCGUGGUCAAGAACACGGUGAACCAAGUGGCCAAGAAGGUCCUCUACGUCGGGUCCAACGGCGAGCUCCACCCGUCGCGGUUCAGCGAGAAAGACCUGAUCAAGGUGGUCGACCGGGAGCACGUCUUCGCCUACAUUGAUGACCCCUGUAGCGCCACGUACCCCCUGAUGCAGACGCUGAGGCAGGUCCUCGUGGACCAUGCGCUGGACGACGUCGACCGAGAGAAGAACCCCAGCACCUCCAUCUUCCAGAAGAUUGGGGCUUUCGAGGAGCAGCUCAAGGUACUCCUCCCGCAGGAGGUCGAGAACGCGAGAGCUCAGUUCGAGAGCGGGAGCUCGGCGAUCGCUAACAAGAUCAGGGGGUGCAGGUCGUACCCAUUGUACAGGUUCGUGAGGGAAGAGCUCGGGACCGGUUUGCUCACGGGGGAGAAGGUCGGCUCGCCGGGCGAGGACUUUGAUCUGGUGUUCUCCGCCAUGUGCGAGGGCAAGCUGAUCGAUCCUUUGCUGGAGUGCUUGAGGGACUGGGAUGGUGCUCCGCUUCCCAUCUGUUAGAAACUUUUCCAAAUCCUGAAGACUGCCUCAUAAUUUAACUUGCCCUAAUCUUGGUAUGUACUUAGAGAGUUUUUCAUGGUCGAGAAACUGCGGUUAAAAUUGUAAUGUCUCUUAUGUCUUUUGUUCAGUUCUUUCUUAUUCAAACACCCCCCCCCCCUCGAUGUAUAUUUGUACUUGGAACUUCAUCGGUGUAACAACAAUGUUGAAACACGUGAAGGAAUACAACAUACAUUGCGUUACAUUUUCGUUCUUAUAAAGGAUCGCGACAUUUACUCUGCAUUGUGAGUUAAUUGUUAUUGGGUACAUCUUAUUGUAUCUCCCAACUUGAACCUACCAAACGUAAAAUCAGAAUGAACAUGUAUUUCUUAAAGGGAGCUACCCUCAUUAGAAAUUAAGUGGGUUGCGUAUUAAGAAUCAAUAUUAUAUUUAAGUUCAUGAAAAGGAACACGUUUAUAUGAAAAGACAUUCAGAUAAUAUAUGCAUCAUUAUUGAUUCAGUCUACAUUAUUCUAAUUAAAUGAAUGCAUAUUAUUUCAAGGCUCCACAUGUAUAAAAAAGUUAGAGGUUGCUCAUCUUUGCUUAGGCCUAGAAUGAUGCCCGACCAACCUCUUUGCCAUGACUUUUGGAAGAGGUUGACCUACCGAGCAUGAAUUUCUUUGUGGGUUGGCCCGAAAAGGCAAUAAAUCAUUUGGGAUGGGACAUAUAUUCCAAAUUGAGUGGUUGCCUCCAGAGCAGGAUAACUCUAUGAUUGGCAAAUAUGGGGCCCCGUUCCUAGAAAAAUAUCACAACUUUGGAUUUUCCUCGAUGCACUUGGCCUAAUCCAUGAGGAGGUUUCUGCCCAAAAUGGUAACCUGGCUAGCAAAACCGAAGUGUCACAUGGAUCUAUUUAGGACAUGUCACGGUCGAUUCCCAGUGUUCGAACCUCAAAAUUAUGGCCCCAAACCCACACUACCUUCUAUGCCAAACCAUAACUGAUGGAGUUUGUAUCAAACUUAACCUCGCGCAAUUUGUGUAAUCGAUAGAUUGAUAAGGAUGUUAGGUCGGCCACCAUAUCAUGUGAUGGCGGAUUCUGUUCAAGUUUAGCUGAACCUCGCUGGUUCAAAGGUGGUACAGUCCCACUUUUUAGUCUCUAAUAAGCUGUCGAAAGCACAAGCAUGGAUACCUUCGAUCUUCCCACUCAAUUUGAGGUCCAUAUACGAGAUUGAAUGUGGAGAAAUGGGUGCGUAUCUGGUAUCACUGAAUUCUCUGAGUCACUGACAGACUCCAUCAUUUGGUUACCUCUUUUUUGUGGAAAGUUCCCUUCUGUAGCAUUAGUGCAGAAGAGCAGACAGUUUCAGCUCCCUGGGGACAAGUUGUCUAGGGCAGAUAAGACAGAAAGUGGAAGAUCCCCGUUUGGACACGUCACUCCAAUGUAAAACAGCCAACGGAUUUCCUAGACAUGGGCAACAAUCAUUCCUAAUCCUCAAAGUGGUCGGAUGUCAAUGCGUCUGUCUCUCUCUCUAUCUCACACGGCGCUUUCAAUAUGUCUUGCUUCAUGUCUUCGAACUUGGGUUUGCCUGGCCGGUGAUCUCAACCAUAUGGGGAAGCAUAUAGCUCGCUCUUCUUCUGCUCGAUUGACCUCUUUCGAAUGUGAAUUCUGGGUUUGUCUCUCCCUCUGGAGAUCGAUGGACACACGCAUCGAUCAAAGCGGGUGAGUGAACUUUGACAUGUUCUUACUCUUUCGCUUUCUAAACAAUUUUGGUUAGGGAUAGCGAAAGAUCGUGAUUCUAAUGUUGUUUUUCCGAACAGGCCUCUCUAUAUGUGUUGACAAUAGCCCUAUAUUUUGGAAUAAUAUGAUAAAUGCAAGCAAUAAAGAGAUUGAUUUUACAUUCUAUGUUCAUGGGAUGUCGAGUUUUCUUUGUGACGACAAAUCACUUUAUAAAAUAUAUAUAUAUAUAUAACCAUAGCAAAAUUCAACUAUCUCGUAAUCAAGGAGUAACCUGAGAAUUUAUCCAUCAAUUCAAAAACUACCAUUCCCUUCACGUGCCAAACAAGAUAUAAAAGAUGCCUAAGCCGUAGCAACUGCCCGAAGUACAAAUAACCAGAAACCAUAGAGUGAAGAUCAAUUAUUUGCCUUCAUUAGCCAUUACAUUGUCCCUUCGAACUUGUAAAUCUCCCCUUUUUGCCUAAUACGCUAAUCAAUCCACAAAACGUUAUCAAGUAAGUGUUGGAGAAAUUUUCUUGAAGUGUUUUGAAGCUGACAAAACGUUUCCAUCAGUCUAGUCUGAAGGCUUGCAGACUCUGCUAUUUAAAGUCUGAAGACCUCCGGACAGCCAGACUCAAGACUCAAAGUCUAUCCUCAUUGACAGUCUCUAAUCCGUUAAAGAAAGGUUAUCCAGAACUGGAUGUUUCGUUAAGGAUUUAAUCUUAUCAACUGGAGAAGAUCUCGUGGCUGGAAAAGACAUAACGGAGUCCUUUGAUUGAUCGAAGAUUGACUCGAUAAUUGAAGAUCCGGUGAUUACCUAAAUAUUAUUGGAAGGUUCUACUUAUGGAAACCGAGAUCCUGAUUGUAUGGGCGAACAUGAUUGAUGGGCUAUCGACACGUUCCUUUAAUAGCUCGGAUAAUCUUCCUAAUUGAUUCCGUCCAACGGGUAGAUUGGAGGAAUUCUUUUGGUAAGUGCCAACGGGUAUGAUGGCAUAAAAGAGUAUAUAAGGAAGACGUUCUAAGUUGUUGAGGUGUGCGCGAUAGAAGAAUUCCAAAGUCUGAAGCUCCUUUUUAUUUAGACAAUUCCUUUGAGCGAAUACUUGUAUACAAAAGAGAGUCUAUAUUUGUGAGAAAUCUUGAGGAGGUGUGGUAGAACAUCCACACUGUGGAAUCAAGGCAAAGCUGUGCUGUAACUUCUCUUUUGUUCAUAAGUGAAAUCCAGCCGGUGGGCUGUCAGUGCGGAAGAGUGGACGUAGGUUUGGAAUAAGCCGAACCACUAUAAACCCUGUGUUCAAUUUUCUCUUCCUUGCUCUCUUUACCUUGAUCGUAUUUCAUUUUGUUAAUCAAAAAAGAAUUUCCUUUCUAUCGUUUGCCAAGAAUCGCUUCCAUAUCUCGAUAAAUUGUUUGUGCACCUAUUCACCCCCCUCUAGGUGCUUAUACUAGCUAUCUCAGUAAGGACCUGUAAAAUCAAGUGCUGUAGGCCUGAAAGAUUCAUUUGCUGACAGCAUUCUAUGCAAGUUAAGAACUAACUCAGGGAGGAAUGGUUGAGGAAGCUUCAUUUGCUAAGUACGUCAAGGUAUUCAUGUACUGCGUAUAGCACACCAAAAGCAAAACUCAUUGGUAGAGCAACAUAUAUGGAGAGAGAACCCAUAUAAAUAUGUGUGUCCUCCAAUCCACCUACACGGGCACACACUUGGGUUACAUAGAGAUGGAAGGACAAGCCCAGCGUUCGAAAGAAAAGGAACAUUUUGACAUUGUUAUGGCAGUCAAACAAAGUCUUGCGAGCAAUUAAGUAGUAAGCAAGCAUCCAAAACUAAAUAUAUCAGAAGCACACCCAGCUGAAGCCGUUUUGCACCAGACCACUUUAGGAGCAGUGCAAUUGAGUGAUGGCUGCAAAAGACAGUACAUAAUCCUCAAGAUCAUAUUCCUGCACGAUCAUUACAAAAGCUGGCAUAAGUAACCAAACUGCCAUCAUACUAAUAUCCGCAAUAACAUGCUGAACAAAAUGUGAGAAUUGUGCCACACAAUACUGUCAUGACUUGCAUACAAGAGAAUUUUCAGUCUAUUUCCACAGUUUAACAUCACUAAGUACUAGAUCAAGAAUGGUUGGGAUAGCAAGAGAACAAGAAUCGAGUAGGGAGAAACUACAAAAACACAAUCAGUCACCAACUUGAAGUCAGGAUGAGUAAAAUCAUCGUGAAUAAAGGAAAAUGAUAAGUAACUUUCACCAACCUCUAUUGUGAGAUCAAAAUAUGAAAAGGAAUGUGCAACGGUUAUGUCCCAAAGAAUGGAGAGAUGAAAACAAAGUCGGUUUCCUUCACUCAUCAUCUUAUUGAGUUAUCCACACACAGAAUAAUGAAAAAGUUGCAGACUAGAUAAAUCCACGGUGGCCUGAUCUGAGGAAAUGGCAAAACCAAAUCCACAAGCUUCCAAGAUCCACUUGAUGUAAUAAGCACAUUCUGCAAAAAGAUGUUCCGACAAUUACUUAUGCAUGUCCAAAUACCCAUAUGCUCUUCUUAAAUCCCGAAUUUAAGAGUGAAACAACAUAAUUUUACUUAAAAGGGUAGAAACACCACCCAAUAAAGGGAAAGACAAAGUUAUCUUCUUUUAAGAGUGAAACAACUUAAUUUAGAAAUUACCAACUUAUUUGGAGCUUGCAAAUUCCUAAAUUUUGUACAAAAUUAUCUCCUUUUAUUUGCAUAUUUUACUAAGGGAAAAUUUUAAAAAGGGACUCGAAGUACCAUCUUUUCCUCAAAUAAGGGUCCAAAGAGGAUAUUGUUUCAAAUAAGGACUGAAAGUGAAUAUUGUUUAAAAUAAUGAUCUAAAGCAGUUACGUUUUUUUUCUUUUUUGGUGACCCGGGAAUCACCAUACAACUGGCAACCAGUGGCGUAAAUCCGAGGUGGACUGAGCCACCACCACAGACCCAGCCGCGGGUGAGUCACGCGAAUGCGACGCCUCUGGGAUUCGAACUCCUUCCCUUCAUGAGGGGGAGAGAGCCCGAAGCCAGCUACACCACCGCGGGCGGUGGUAUCUAAAGCGGUUAUGUUUGUUUCAAAUAAGGAUUUAAAAUGGCUAUAUCGGUUUCUAAUAACUUUUCGGCAAUCACGGUAUUUUCGUCAUUUGUCAUUUUUCCUCUUUUUUUUUUCUUUUUUCUUCUGGUUCUUCUUCUUCCUCUUCGCCGGCGAAGAGGAAGAAGCAGAACCAAAAAAAUAAAAGAAAGGAAAAAAGGGAAAAAUGCCAAAUGACGAACUGAUUGGAAAACGAAGAGGAAGAAGCAGAACCAAAAAAAUAAAAGAAAGGAAAAAAGGGAAAAAUGCCAAAUGACGAACUGAUUGGAAAAUUUAGCGGGUUGGUGAUCGGCAAAGUUAGGUCAUUAUUUGAAAUAACCAAAGCCAUUUCAGGCCUUUAUUUGAAAUAAUCAAGGCAAUUUCAAAUCUUUAUUUGAAAUAAAAUCCACUUUGGGCUCUUAUUUGAAAAAAUAAGGACACUUUGGCUCCUUUUUAAAAAAUUUCCCUUUUACUAAUGCUUUGAAUUCGCUAACUAUUUUAUAAAAUUCAUAAGCUAAAUUAGUAUUAUUUACUAAAUUUUGUCCAAUUAAAAUUUUUAGUUUUGAUUUACCAACUAUCUUUGAAUUAUUUACGAAUAUUUAAUUUUUUUUAAUCUACCAAUUGUCUUGUUAAAGUUACCAAGUGUGUUUGUCUUGGAGCUAUUUUUUUUUUUUAAAUUUAAAAGACUCAUUCAAAAAUUACCAAUCAAAAUUAGCUUGAUUUACAAGUUUUCUUCCAUUAAAUUAUCAAAUAGUAUUGAGUGCCUACUUUCAUUUGAAUUACUUACCACACUCUAGUUGUUUAAAUUCUCAAUUUGCCUAAUUUUCUUAUCGUUUCUAAACUUUGCUUUUCCUAGCAACUCUUGUGAUUUACCGACUCCUUUUUCAAAUAUUAUCACUAACCUAAUUAAAGUGACAUAACAACUUCUCUUUGAUUAAAUUAUCGGCUAGUCUUGGAUUGCCAACUCUCAUUCGAGUUACUUACGGCAUUUUAUCUUUCCUAACUCCUCCAUACAUAUUUAUCCAAAACAUGCGACAUUAUCAUACGCAAUCACAUCUUUUUCCAUCGAUCUUUUUCAUACAAAAUAUGCGGGACUUCUUGAGCUCCCGAUUAAUCUUCAUUAAAUGAGCUAGUUAUCUCAACUCAAAUAGUGCUUGAUGGUACAUUAUUGUACGUUUAUACACCUGACCAUCAUCUUGAUAGGAUAAGCUUUUGCUAACAAAAUUGCCAAAUAUACAGAUUAGGUAUCAGUUUGGCCAUGGUUUGAUUAAGUCCAGGUAAUUAGCUGCACUUUUGGAUGACUCCGGGUUCGAGACUCCAGCUACCAAAUCAAGACUCGAAAAAAAACAAGAGAUUAGUCGAUUUAACCAUUUUAUUUAAAAAGAUGCUAUUUCCACUUUAUUUUACGAUUUUAAUACCUCUUCUUUUUUCUUGCAAGUUACUUCUCCGAUAUGGGCUUCUAGACGAAGAAGGGUUUGACGUGCAUAUAGUCUAACUUGAUCCGGAUUUUCUUGAUAUAUUAAGUAUAAAUCUACAAGUAAGUACCUAAAAUACAUAUCUAAUAAAGCACAUAAACUCCCAUUUUCUUCUGGACUUAUCAAGAAACCUGAUGGAUGGAGACACCCUUUCGAUUCUUCCAAGGUUGCAACUUGUUGAGGGACAAAAUAAAUUCACAAUUAAAUUCCCAACAUUAGGAACUCGUUGAUAAUACUAGCAUGUACACGUGCAUAUUAGUCAAAAGUCUAGAAAACCUUCCCUUGUUUAUAGGUUAGCUCCAGAUAAAGGUCGAUCUAAAUAAACCCAGGUUGAAGAAUUCAAGAAUAAUUUAAUCUUGAAAAAAAGCAAAACCCAAAACCUCGUCCAUACAUACAUACAUACAUACAUACAUACAUACAUACAUACAUACAUACAUACAUAUAUAUAGAUACACACAUAUAAAAGAUACACUUAAGAAUUUCGAGGUUCUUGUUUUAGUUGGUUGAAGUAGUGAUUAGCUUUUAGUCUUUUUAAGUAAAGACUAUGAAAUGCAGAGAAGGAAUUGGGACUUGGGAUUAGAUGCCUCCUCCACCUGGUAUCUUGUAUCUACGUAUUGAAAAUUCUAAUAGGACAUCGAAGUUGGAGUGUUAAAAGUAUAUCUCACAUAACUUAGCUACCGGAUUUAUAACGAAGUUAUUUACAUCAAUAAAUUUACUAAUAGUUUAAGAUGCAUCUUCUAGGAAUACAAAAAUCUAUUGUCUUGUGUUCAAUUCUACGAAAUCUUUCUAUCAUAGUGGCAAAUUUAAACACCGUUCGCUAGUGAAAACAAUGGUCAUAGAUUUUUUUUUUUUUUUUAAGUAAGGUGUUGGUAAAUUUAUCAACAGCUUUAUGAAAUUGCCAACUUAUUUAGAGUUUGCAAAUUUACAAAUUUUGUACAAACUUAUCUAUUUUUAUUUGUAUAUCUUGCUAAUGCUUUGAAUUCACUAAUCUUUUUUUAAAAAUGAAAUUGAUAACUUAAAUUAGUGUGAUUUACUAAUUUGUCAAAUUAAGUUUUUAAAUUUUGGUUUACCAACUCUCUGCGAAUUAUUUACCAACAUUUAAUUUUAUUUAAUCCUCCAAAUUUCCCGUUAAAGUUACCAACUUGUAUUACUUUUUACCACCUUUUAUGUAUCUUUCCUAACUCAUCCAAUAUAUGUUUUCUGCGCAACAUGUGACGAAGACGUGAUCAUACGCAAUCACAUCUUUUUCCGUCGAUCUUUUUCAGACAAAACACACAAGACUUCUUGGGCUCUCAAUUAAUCUCUACUAUAAGAGCUAGUCAUCCCGACUCAAAUAGUGAAGGUCCACAGUAACAUUAUAGGCUCAUGCUCCCUAACACAAUUGCUGGCUGAAUCCAUGAAUUAUGUAUCGGUUUGGCCAUGGUUUGAUCAAGUCUUGGUGAUUAGCUGCACGCUGGUCAACUCCAGCUACCGAAACACACAUUAAUUAAUAAGACUCAGGAAAAUAUUCGCGCCCAAUUACUGCUAUCUGUUCAUAGGAUCCGAUCGAAUAUUUGCGUCACCCUUUUUAUGUCGGAUGUAAAUCUCUUAUUGGCUUCACCAACUCGAAGGAACUGCGACCCUUUGUUUUCUCUCGUCUUCUCUUUCUUUUCUUCCCUCGAUUUUCCUUUAUUUUCUCCGGGGUUGGUGGUAAUCGGUAGGCACGACUUUAAUAAAUUCUUUGGCCCAUGUCCGCAUUUAAAAUGUGGUCUGACCGCAUCUGAAUUGAAAAGCUAGCUACCGUCUCCCUAAGAUGACAGACUGGCGAUUUGAUCGAAAGUGGUGGGACAAAAGGGUAAUGAUAUCCAGUCUUUGGAUCGGAUGGAUGGGAUUUAUUAAUCCCCAGCUAAUCCACUUAAUUUAAUUUACUUCGUCUCAAAAUUCGGGGCUGAGUUCUUUGAAAGUUUCCUUGUGAGCACGGACCUGACUCGCACGUGAUUUGCGAAAUGAAGUGGAUCUUUUCAUGCAAUUAGAUACAAACGGCAUUGGAAAAUAUGGUUUUAUAACUUAGUCAAGUAUUAUAGUUACACCAUUACCCAAAUUUCUGAAUAUCUUUUCAUUUUCGGGAAGUAACGAAGAAGGACAUGGCUUGGGAUUUACUCUUUUUGGGUCAACAACUUAACAUAGGAUUUUUGGAACAUGACUUUUCCUUUUAAUACGGUCAACAGAUUCAAAAAUAGGGUCAUUCCUAAAUUGAUUUAAUAAUCAAUUUGGGAAUAUUUAAUCUUUAUAUAUCUUCAUGACCUACUCCCAAAGCAAGGUAGUUAUGUGGGCAUAUUUAAUCUUUAUAUAGCUUCACGACCUACUCCCAAAACAAGGUAGUUUUGUCUUUACCAGCAACUCAUCGAAAUCGCGAUUCCACAACGGAGUUUAGUUUAGGAAUCGAAUUUUCAUUUGACAUUUUAUUUGGUAUGUCCUAUGUUGCUAACAUCCCACAUGGUCAUGGAAUAAGGAAAAAAAAAUUAUGUGAAUGCAGUUUCUUUCUUGGGGAAAAGUCAAAAUAGAAAAAGGAAUCCCAUCGUAAAAUCUUUCUUCAAUAUAUGUGAAGACAAAAAGGUCCUCAUAUACUCUUCCAUUUGAGUUGAAAUUAUCACGCAUGGCACUACAUUGAGAUUUAUAGUUUGUACUGAAUUUUGCGAUUGGAUUGAAUUUUAAUUUUUAUUCAAUUUAAAUUUUAUGGUCCACAAAUGUUGCAUUUUUGUAAUCCCGAAGCGUUCGAGACUUUGACAUUAUAUCUACGAUUUUUUUGGAAUCUAAGUAUUUUAAGUUACGGUGGAAAACAAAGGAUAAAAUUUUCUUUUNNNNNNNNNNNNNNNNNNNNNNNNNNNNNNNNNNNNNNNNNNNNNNNNNNNNNNNNNNNNNNNNNNNNNNNNNNNNNNNNNNNNNNNNNNNNNNNNNNNNAAUUUAGUUUACAAGUGAAAAAUAGAAAUUGUUCAGCACGCUUGUCUCUUGCUAUCAUUGAAGUGUUUAGUGUCAUGCGAAAUAUAAGCAAUUUAUUAAUUAUUAAGUGUUCUAAAGGGUCAAUACAUGUGAGGUUAAUGAAUUAUCGAGAUAUUGAAAGUAUAGUCAAUUGUAAUCAAGAGGCAAAUGUCUUCAAUGCUUCGAUUGUCUUUGUGUUCUAUGAAAAAAAGCAAGGAAGAAUAAGGAAAAACGUAGGAAAUUUUUUGUAUAUUCUAUUUUGUAUAUCAAAUAGUGUACAAUGCUGUACAAUUAUAUCACUAGGCAUGUACAAGAAAAAGGAAAUAAAGAAUAUUACAAAAUCAAUUUCGAUAUUAGACUGAUAUUAAUUGAUCUGGCAUAUCAAUCUAAAUCCUAAAGAAUAUUGCACAAGAUCGCAUAUCUUCCAACAUUUCCCCUUAAACUGGUGGCUUGUAGAUGUCAAAGACACUUAGCUUGCUUAGUAGAUAUGCGUGUUGUCUCUGACAUAGAGGUUUGGUGAAGACAUCUGCAGGUUGUUCUGUAGUCCCAAUUCCUCUUGUUUCGAUUACCUCCUCUUGAAUCUUCUCUCAGGUGAAGUGACAGUCCACUUCUAUGGGCUUUGUUCUUUCGUGCACUAUAGGAUUGGACGCAAGUUUUGUUAUGUCGUUGUCACAAAACAACAUGCUGGGUCCCUUUGUUUGCACCCCAAGGUCCUGAAGCAAGCCUCACAGCCACACUAUUUCACAAGUGGUCUUCGCCAUAGCUCGAUAUUCAGCCUCUAUUGAAGAUAAAGACAUGGUUGGCUGCUUCUUCGUCUUCCAAGAAAGUAAAAUUUUCCCAGCAUGAUACGGAAUCCUAUAAUUGAUCUCCUGCUCAUCGGACAAGUUGCUUAAUCAGCGUCACAAUAAGUUGUCAUCUCCAUGUUGCAUCUUUUUUAAAGAAGAAUUCCAAGUCCUAGACAUUUCUUCAAAUACUUAACAACCUUUAGAGCGUGUGGGACUGCUUUGACUUGUGCAUAAACCGACUGAGUGUCUGCACAUCAUAACAUAUAUCUGGUUUAGUCAUGGUAAAAUAUAUGAGCUUUCCUACCAGCCUUUGAUAACCUGAUGGGUCUCUGUAUCAUCUUGGAGAUUUCUUUCAUCACGGUCCACCGUAGUUAACUUGACAUUUUGUUCGAUUGGAAUAGCUGCCAAUUUGCUUCCCGAUAAACCUGCUUCUGAUAUGAUCUCUAGCACGAAUUUUCGUUGAAUGAUGGAAAUCCCUUGAUUUGAUCGAGCAAUUUCUAUUCUUAGAAAAUAUUUGGGUGAUCCCAAGUCCUUUAUGUGAAAUGUCGAAUGCAGGUAUUCCUUGAAGCUCUUUAUGACAAUUGCAUCUACCCAUAAUAAGUAUAUCAUCAAUGUAUAUCAUUAAAAAUAUGGAUGACAUACCUUUUGUCCAUGUAAAAAUAGCGUAGUGAUAUUUAGACCGUUUGAAACUUGUUGCUGUGAGAGCAUUCGCGAACUUGGCAUACCAUUGCCUAGAUGCUUGUUUGAGACCAUAAAGGGAUUUGCGGAGACGACAUACUUUGUUCUCCCCCUGUCUCCAUAAACCCUGAGGAAGUUUCAUAUAAAUUUCUUCAUCCAAAUCACCAUGGAGAAAUGUAUUGUGGACAUCCAUUUGGUGUAAUGACCAAUCUUGGGAAGCCGUAACCGAUAGGAAGGAGUGAACCGUGACAUCUUUGGCCACUGGAGAGAAGGUCUCGUGAUAGUCGAAUCAUUCUCACUGUGUAAACCCUUUGGCCACGAAUCGAGCUUUACAUCGUUCAAUCAAUCCAUCUACUCGAAACUUUAUCUUGUAAACCCAUUUACAUCCUAUUGCCUUACGAUUAGUAGGUAAAGUCACAAGAUCCCAUGUAUGGUUGUCAUUUAAUGCUUGUAAUUCUGCUGGCAUGGCCUUUUGCCAGUGUGGAUCCAUGGAUGCUUCAUCAUAACUAGCUGGUUCCCUUUCUUCAGAUAUGCAACUAAUACAUUGUCUAUGUUCUGGAGACAAUUGAUUGAAAGAGACAUAGGACGAGAUAGGAUAAUGAAUACCUAGUGAGUUGUGUGUGGCACAAAUAUAAUCCUUAGUCCAAGUUGGUGGGCAUGUGAUGCACCCUGAAUGUCGAGGAGGAUUUGGACGUGAUGGUAGAGGCUCUUCCAUAGGUGGUGCCGUCAUGAGUUUGGAGCUUCUUCAGUAGUUGCAUCCUCAGAUCUUGGAGAAAUUUCCUCAGCAGUAGUCCAAUUGCUUGUGGAAGCACUGUUGAAGGUUCCUGGAUUUCCUAUCACAACAUAAUCAAGAUCCUUGGAUAUAUCGUCUUCAGGGAAAAUAACUCGAGAAGGAUUGAGAUCGUUUUCUUUUGAGGAUUGAUCUUCAGCAAAUGGAAACAUGUCCUCAUGGAAGACUACAUCUCUACUUAUGAGGAAUUCUCUUGUAGAGGGUUGAAACACACGAUACCCCUUCUGAAGAUUUGGAUAUUCCAUAAAUAUGCACGGUUGGGCACGAAGACUCAUUUUGUUCGGAGGGCCUGUCGCAAUGACGUUGCAUAAACACCCAAAAAUUCUUAGGUGAUCCAUUUUUGGUUUCUUUCGAAAAAGGACUUCGAAAGGGCUUCGACCGUUCAACACUUUCGUUGGCAUCCAAUUAAUUAAGUACACUGCCGUGAUCAUGCAUUCUGCCCAAAAAUUAUUUGGAAUAGAGGCCUGAAACUUCAAGGCACGUGCCACUUCCAGAAUAUGUCGAUGCUUUCUUUCAACUACUCCAUUUUGUUGUGGAGUGUAUGUGCACGAACUUUCAUGCAAGAUGCCAUAGGAUGAAAAUAUUGAUGCGCAUUCAUGGUUGAAAAAUUCUCUUCCAUUAUCUAUCCUAAUCCGCUGGAUAGAUUUUCCAAAUUGGGUCUUUGAUAAAGAGAUAAAUUCCUUUAAGUGAGAUAGAACUUGACCCUUAGUUUGCAAGAGGAAGAUCCAUGUUGCUCGAGAAUGAUCAUCAACAAUAGUAAGAAAAUAUUUUGAUCCAUCAUGAUUAGGUGUAUGAUACGGUCCCCAUACAUCAGCAUGAAUUAGCGAGAAAGCACUAGUGGAACGACUCAUGCUAACUGGAAAGGGUGCACGUAAUUGUUUUGUAAGUGGGCAGAUAUGACACUGAGAGUAAGGAAAUAAAGCACCGUGGCCCAUUCUAGAAUGCAAAAGGAAAUUUUUAUCAUUGGUAGUGACAUUACGCAAUGAUUGUUUAUUGAAGGAAACUUGAGAUAAAUAUAAAGUUCUUGGAAUGCUAGUCCAAAAAAAUAGUCCGUCGGAAAGAUUACCCAAACCCAUCAGUUUCAUGUCGAAAGGGCCUGAAAGAAACAGAUAUCGGCAUUGAAGAAAAUACAACAAGAGUUUUCCUUGCAGCUCUAGACACAAAAAUCAGAUUGAACUGGAAAUCUGGAACAUAGAAGACAUUUCUCAGUGUUAUUUGAGGGCUAAGGUUCACAAUUCCUAUAGUGGUCACAUAGGUAAUGCUUCCAUUUGGCAAUCUUACAGAAACAGGAAUACUUAAAUUUUCAUGAAUAAUGGAAAAGAAGCCUUUAUCACAAACAAUAUGAUCAUUAGCCUCUGAGUCAAUCAUCCAAGAAUUUCGGGAAAUAGAGUAUUAGGCAAUGAGAAAUACCUGAGAAGCUACUUCCUUUGUUGGAAAUGUCCAUUUUUUGCAAUGCCUUUAUAAACUGCUGAUACUACCCUUGAGUGAUAGGCUGAUCAUUAUUUGAACCUAAGGUCUGAUAAGCUGCUACUGAAGAUUCCUUCCCCCAUUUUCCUUUUUCACCGGGCUUGUAGUGCAAUUUCUAGCAAUUAUUAAUGGUGUGGUGGGGUCGCUUGCAGUAUUCACAAAAUAACUUAUUUUCCCUUUUAUAUUUGGCCCAUAUGCCUUUGAACUCGUGGAAAAAUGUGGACCGUUGGAUCCUUUAAAAAUAGCCACGUGCCCACCGUCCGAUCAUGAUGAGGAAUUGGGCCCUUUCCGGUCGUUUGAUUGCGCCUCACAAUCUGGACCGUCCAUUUCAGACACUUUAAAAGCAUUUGAAGUUGUCCCAAACCCUAGCUCUUCUAGCCGCAUGCCCUGUUUUGGAGUCUUCUGGUUUUGGUCUCCCUUCUCACCGCGAGUAGCCAAGGCCAGCAACUCUACUCCUCUCGCAUGCUCCGUUGCCAUGAGUCUCUGACUCUCUUCUUAGAUGGCCAACUGGAAAAUACAGUUGAGCGAUGGCAUGGGUUCCAUGGCUAAGAUUUGAGAUCUGAAUGUCAGCUAAGAGUCGUUUAAAAUGAGCAAGAAACGGGUAACUUUCUCUCUGUCUCGUAUUGCUUUGUACUGCUACAAAGUGGCCUCAGGCCAUUUGAGUUUCUCCUUUGCUGCCUCCAACUUAUUCCAGAGAGCUGAUAACUUAUUAAAAACCAUUGUGAUGCUCAUAUUCCCCUGUUUUAGUUCGGAAAGUGCUUGGGUCAAGGAAAAAAAUUUGCACAGUCCAAUUUUCCAUACAUUUCUCAUAUAGUGUCCCACGUCCUUUUCAAAUCUUUUGUGGGAGUAAGUCUGGUUGCAAUUUCUGGAUUGAUGCAGUUCCCAAUCCACUUUCUUACUAGUUUAUUACACUUCUUCCAUUGUCUCGCCAUCCUCUCGUCUGUCGGAAUGGGAGUAGAUCCAUCAAUAAAUCCCUCUUUAUCUUUAGUAACAAGGGCUUGACGAAAUUCUUGAGCCCAGAUUGAGUAGUUAUGAGAUCCCCUUAGUUGUUGACUGAUGAGUCGUAUCUUCGGUCCAUCAGCGGUAGAUACGUACAAUGGAUCACCGAGUUCUGGCUGAUCAGAAACGACUGAGAGAGGGUAUGGCAAGAAUCCGGGUCUUAUUGUCGGGUAGGUAUUUGAACCCAUACUUGGAUUAAGCAACCCACUGGAUAAUACCGCAUCUUGAUUUCCAGAUCCAGUAUCUACGCUUGCCCGGUCUAUGGUUGGCGAGCCAUUAUUGGGCUGGACAUUGUCUUCGGAAAUUUGAAUUCCAGGCCAUGGAGUACUUGGGCUUGGCUCGUAGUACCAUGGGCUGGGCUGAACAAGAACGGGUACCCAUUGGUAUGCUUGACCCGCCAUGGCCUGACCUGAUGUGGAUUGGCUUGGAAUGGGUUGCCCCAGACUAAGCUGCCAUGGAAAAAAACCCGCAUUUGGUUGGACUUGGAAUCUAGCGGCUUCAGCAAGCAAGUUCACAGUAGAGUUUUGAGUUUCUUCUUUUGUGAUACGCUUUCUAGUAGAUGGUGGUUGAUCUUCUGCCAUGGUGAUGGUAAGAUGUUCCUUUUCUUCACUUGCUCUUUUUCCUCAGAAAUCGAUUCCUACACCGGAGUGCUAACGUUAUUCUGCUGGUUAGCGUGUUCUUCAAAAAUACCGACAGGCAAUCAAAGAGGAGAGGUGCGGAAGCUGAAAUUGAAUUAGAAGCGAAGCCUGCUCUGAUACCAUGAAAGAAAGCAAGGAAGAACAAGGAAAAAUGUAGGAAAAUGUUUGUAUAUUCUAUUCUAUAUAUCAAAUAGUGUACAAUGCUCUACAAUUAUAUCACUAGGCAUGUACAAGAAAAAGGAAAUAAAGAAUAUUACAAAAUCAAUUAUGAUAUUAGACUGAUAUUAAUUGAUCUGGCAUAUCAAUCUAAAUCCUAAAGAAUAUUACAUAAGAUCGCAUAUCUUCCAACAUUCUAGACAAUUAGUAUCUCGAAAUUGAAUUACACAUAUAAAACAAAUGUCCAUGACUUUCAUUAUGACUUACGUUAAAAAGUACCCGACACAUUUGUUAAGCAAUUUGGAUAAGCAUGGCACCACAUCGAGAUUUAUAGUUUGCAUUGAAUUUUGUUAUUUGAUUGAAUUUUAAUUUUUAUUCAAUUAAAAUUUUACGGUCCACAAAUGUUGAUUUUUUUUUUUAUAAUCUGAAGCGUUCGAGACUUUCACAUUAUAUCUAUGAUUUUUUUUUUUGGAAUCUAAGUAUUUUAAAUUACGAUGGAAAAAAAGGGAAUAGAUUUUUCUUUUAAUUAUUUGCAAAUAAACAAGCUCGUCUUAUUAAUAAAUUACAUCACUUAGAUUACUAGUGAAAAACAUAAAUUCUUCGGCACGCUUGUCCCUCGCUAACAUCGAGCAUCAUGCGAAAUAUAAACAAUUUGUUAAUUAUUAAGUGUUCUAAAGGGUCAAGACAUGCAAGGUUAAUAAAUUAUCGAGAUAUCAAAAGUAUAGUCAAUCGUGAUCAAGUUGCAAAUACUUUCAAUGCUUCGAUUGUCUUUGCAUUCUACACAAUUAGUGUCUCAAAAUUGAAUUACACAUAUAAAAUAGAUGUCCAAGACUUUCAAUAUGACUUAUGUUAAAAAGUACCCGGCGCACUUAAUAAGCAAAUUUAAUAAGAAAAUAUUCUAUUUCGAGAGUAUCAACUGUACGUAUUAAGAAAGAAGUUGGUGCGUAGAAACUUUACUUAUUUUCUUUGUGUUGAAUUGUUCAUCAAAAAAUGUCUUUGGGACCCGCUUUGUGACAUAUCCGUUCCUCUGCUCUGUGGGAGGACCCGCAUUGGUUGGUGCAUUGGUUUGGUUGGUAGGAAUAACAUGUGUUCUCUCCCGAAUGACAUUGUCGGAACCCAUUUCUUAACUUUUGCAAAGACGGAGUGUUUUAUUUAUUGCAAGCUCCACUAGUUUCUGAAAAGACUUGGUGCCCCGGAAUCAAGGACUCCCCAUUCCGCCUCGACGGAAUCCUGAACCCGACUGACCUAGAAUGGACAUAAACACGAUAAUAAUUUCCAUUGGCAUAUGUUAUCGGACUGCACAUUUCAUAAGAAUUGUCAAAAGAAUAUGUCCAAAAUGGAAUGGGUACGAGUAAACGCGACAUAUAUUAAAAAUCAGAGGGUAUGACCAGUUCCUACGCAAAAUGAUGUGAGAUGGAUUGUUUCAAUGAAUUUGGUGAGCACAAUAGUCAAAUAGUGGGGUUGGUGACCGCACGACGCGGGCUCUUGCAAGGCGUGUCAAUACCAUGGAGUCAGAUAAGAUCAUUUUAUAGUCCCACUUGUACUUCAAAAAUACUGAGAAGAGCACAAGUAAUUUGAGCAGAAAAAGUAAUUUAGUGCUAAUUUCUAGGGAUCACAAUUUCAUGGAUUUUUUUUUAAAUCAAUUUUUGGUCUGUGCCCUUAAAAUCAUUUUCCUUUCAAAGAUUAAAGUAAAUUGCCAAAUUGGGAAAUAAACAUUUUACUAAAAAGACAAAAAUAUUGAGUAAAAGAAAUGUCAAAAUGAAACGAAAUAAGCCUAAAAGAAAUCGAUCACUCUUAUCUUUUUUUCCAUUUAACAUCAUCAUUAAAAGAAUUUGUCUUGAUAUUACUUAUUUGAUUCCUCCAAUGAUGCAUUUCCGAGGUCUUCCUUCCCGUGACGUAACCCGAGAGCCAUCCUCAUUGUUCCCCAACUGGGGAGGCCAUUUCUUGUUAGUGCCUGGUGGAACAGGGUCAAUGUGCCUAAUCAUCACUUAAACGACACCAAACACCGGUUCACUCCCUCCCAUGAUUUCCCAAUUCAAAAUCUCCACCCGGUCGGGAAUUUCAAUUCGGAAACCAGCUUUGACCAGUCGACUAACCCGUCAACCUAACCUACUCGACACUCAAUGGCGGGCGGGCCUCUCCUCUAUUUAAACGUCCGAUUUGUAGGUGAACAGACUCAGGAAAUUCACUAGCUUCUUUAGCACAUGUGAAUUUCCUUCAGAGAAAAACACACACAAAAAACGCCACCGCGCUCUUCCUCUCUCUCGCCAAGCCCUCACCUCGAUCUCGCGCUUGCUCGCUCCUCGCUCGAUUUCGACUCCUCUUCUCGGGCUCUCGGCCGCUCUAGACGUUCGCAUUCACACGAGCGCGAAGAUGGACAUGGACACGGCAGCGUGCAACGGCAAGGGCUCCCUCGGGCUCUGCGCGGGGGCAGGCGGUGACCCGCUCAACUGGGGCGUGGCCGCCGCGGCCCUCACGGGGAGCCACCUCGAUGAGGUGAAAAGGAUGGUCGAGGAGUCCCGGCGGCCUGUGGUCCGCCUCGGCGGUGAGACGCUGACCAUCGCACAGGUGGCGGCCAUCGCGGGGCGGGAGGCUGGCAUGGCGGUCGAGCUGUCGGAGGCGGCCCGGGCGGCAGUCAAGGCCAGCAGCGACUGGGUCAUGGAGAGCAUGAGCAACGGCACGGACAGCUACGGGGUCACCACCGGCUUCGGCGCCACCUCGCAUAGGCGGACCAAGCAAGGUGGUGCUCUGCAGACGGAGCUCAUAAGGUAAAAAAAGAAAAAAAAAUGUGCUACUUCGAUAUAUUUCUUUAAAUUCUCAUUCGGUUGUUUUUAUUAACAAAUAUUCGCAGAUAUAUCGAAAAUACUUGUCAGGCAAUCGAUAAUGAAAAAAAAAUGCUGAUUUUAGGAGAUGGGUGCGAUAAUACGUUAUUCGGGAAUUGUAAUUAUCAAGAAGUGCAUAUUUAAAAUAAAAAAAAUCAAGUAAAAUCCUUUGUUUUAAUUUAAAAUUAACACCUGUCAUAUGUGGUAUAAAUGGUCCCUCGUGAAGGGCUGCCAAGUGCUGGCUAAGCUUCCUUUCCAUAAAAGAUAUAUACCCAAACGUGCAAGUAUCAAUCCAAAGGCCGACAUCAAUUUCUCUAUAUUUUUUAAAUAUUAGGUAACCAAAAAUAAUAUGGGAGAAGAUUAAUUAAUUUCGAAGACAACCCGUAAUAAUUACUUUUUGAAUACCUAAUUUUUCAUUUUUUCAAUUAAUGAGACUUACCUUUGCUAUAAUCAAAUAAGUGUCUAAAUCGAUAUUCACAUUUCCUUUGCUAUAAUUAAUAAUAUGUGGUUGACGAAAUUUUCCCAUUGAACCAGGUUCUUAAACGCCGGCAUAUUCGGCAACGGGACCGAGUCGUGCCACGUGCUGCCCCACUCGGCGACCCGGGCCGCGAUGCUCGUGAGGAUCAACACCCUCCUCCAAGGCUACUCAGGCAUCCGGUUUGAGAUCCUGGAGACCAUGGCCAAGCUCCUCAACCGCAACAUCACCCCGUGCCUGCCUCUCAGGGGUACUGUCACGGCCUCAGGCGACCUGGUCCCCUUGUCCUACAUCGCCGGGCUUCUGACGGGCAGGCCCAACUCAAAGGCGGUCGGGCCAAAUGGCGAGUCCCUGAACGCCGUCGAGGCCUUCCGCCUUGCCGGGAUCAAGCACGGGUUCUUUGACCUGCAGCCCAAAGAGGGCCUCGCGAUCGUGAAUGGCACGGCAGUCGGGUCUGGGCUCGCUUCCAUUGUCCUGUUCGAGGCGAACAUCCUGGCCGUCCUCUCAGAGGUUCUGUCGGCGAUCUUCGCCGAGGUGAUGCAAGGGAAGCCGGAGUUCACUGACCACUUGACCCACAAGCUCAAGCACCAUCCCGGACAAAUUGAAGCUGCAGCUAUAAUGGAGCACAUCUUGGAUGGGAGCUCCUACGUGAAGGACGCUCAAAAGGUCCACGAGAUCGACCCUCUCCAGAAGCCGAAGCAGGACCGAUACGCGCUCCGCACGUCCCCGCAGUGGCUCGGCCCCCAGAUCGAAGUGAUCAGGGCCGCCACCAAAAUGAUCGAGAGGGAGAUCAACUCUGUCAACGACAACCCGCUGAUCGAUGUCUCCAGGAACAAGGCUCUCCAUGGAGGGAACUUCCAGGGGACCCCGAUUGGCGUUUCCAUGGACAACACCCGUCUCGCCAUCGCCUCCAUCGGCAAGCUCAUGUUCGCGCAGUUCUCCGAGCUCGUUAACGACUUCUACAACAACGGGCUGCCCUCUAACCUGUCCGGGGGACGGAACCCGAGCCUGGAUUAUGGCUUCAAGGGAGCCGAGAUCGCCAUGGCCUCAUACUGCUCGGAGCUGCAGUUCCUUGCCAACCCUGUGACCAACCAUGUCGAGAGCGCGGAGCAACACAACCAGGACGUGAACUCCUUGGGCCUGAUCUCGUCGAGGAAGACUGCCGAGGCCGUUGACGUGCUGAAGCUCAUGUCCUCCACCUUCCUGGUCGCCCUGUGCCAGGCCAUCGACCUGAGGCACCUGGAAGAGAACCUCAAGAGCGUGGUCAAGAACACGGUGAACCAAGUGGCCAAGAAGGUCCUCUACGUUGGGUCCAACGGCGAGCUCCACCCGUCGCGGUUCAGCGAGAAAGACCUGAUCAAGGUGGUCGACCGGGAGCACGUCUUCGCCUACAUUGAUGACCCCUGCAGCGCCACGUACCCCCUGAUGCAGAAGCUGAGGCAGGUCCUCGUGGACCAUGCACUGGACGACGUCGACCGGGAGAAGAACCCCAGCACCUCCAUCUUCCAGAAGAUUGGGGCUUUCGAGGAGCAGCUCAAGGCACUCCUCCCGAAGGAGGUUGAGAACGCGAGAGCUCAGUUCGAGAGCGGGAAC
rnacentral:lncRNA from 1 species